UGGGGAUGGUGGAGCCGACGGGGGCCAUGAAGAAGGUGAUGCCGUCAGCGGUGAGGUUGGUGGGGCUGGGUGUGAUUAUGAAGUUUACGGUGGUUUCAAAGUCGACUUGGCCGCCGGCUUGGGAGAACUGGACCGGGUUCGAGUGCAAGACCCGGCCGACACUGCCUAUCGUCGGGAAGGUGAGGCGGAGGAAGGGGGAGUUCCAUACGAAAUGGGCGUGGCCUUGGUAGGUGAGAUCGGUCGGCAAGUCACUCCAGAAGUCGUAGGUGAAGGACGUCGAUUGGGACUGCGCAGUGUUGGCGGCAGCGGCGAGGAGGAGGAUGAUGGAGGAGAGGAGAGGAAUUAGGGUUUGGAGGAGCUUAGCCAUGGCUUAAUUGAGUAUAUUUAGAUGUGGUGGAUGAUGGUGGUAUCUCUUGCUCCUAUUUAUAGUGAAUAGUGUAUAGUGUAUAGAGUAUAGUGUAUAUAUGCAUGAUAUUAUGAUUUAAUUGCCUAUGAAUUAUUAAACUUUCAUCAAAUUCUUAUUUUAUAUAUAAACUUCAAAUUAAAUGUAGCGUGAUAAUCACUAAAUUUAUUUAAUCUUAUAUUUGCUACCAAUCAGGAUUCUAGCCAAAUUUACUAUUGACAUUACAAAGUCGAGGAUAUCCUAAGAUGGAUUGAAACAUUAAGAUAUUCCAAGGAUCUUAAUAAUUUCUAUCAUUUGGCAUAAUUUUAUUUGAUUCAUAUCUCAUUGAAAGAAUAUGAUUUUUAUCCCCUCCGUUCACAAAGAUUGUAUGGUGAACUCAGGACAUGAGUUUUAAUAAAUACUUCUUCCGUCCCCAAAAUAACUUUCUAUGAGAGAGGGGCACGAGUUUUAAGAUAAAAUUGUUGAGUGUAUUCGAAGUGGUUAAAAAGUGUUAGUAUUGAAAGUGAUGAAAAUGUGUUAUAAUUAGUAUUUGAAGUGGUGAAAAGGUAAAAAAAUAGAGUAAAUAUAUGGAGUAUAUAUUAGUAGAAAGUGUAGAAAGAUCCACCAAAAUUGAGUGGAGAAAAAGAUCCACUAAAAUUGAUGUGUUAAAUGGUUGAAUAUUUUGUAAAUAUUGAAUGUGAAUGAUGUUUAAAAUGUAAGGGGCGUAGUUUCUAAAUAAAGAAAGCAUACAAUCUUUAUGGACAGACGAAAAUAAUAAUAAACAUACAAUCUUUGUGGAUUGAGGGAGUGAUAAACAUUUCAUUCAUUUAUUGUGGUUUGGAAUCGAUCUUUAUCAACAUUACAUGCAUUCACAAAUAUGAAGAAGGAUUUAAAACGUGUGACACCUUAUUUUAUAUUUAAAAUCGCAAUCACGAAGAGGACCACACUUAUCCUCUAAUCAAUGCUCUCCAUUAUUUUAUAGGAAAGGAUAAACAUGAUUCUUGGUUUAUUUAUGCUUUUAAUAUAUACAAUUAGAUGAUUUUUGGGGCAAAAAGUGAAGAUUUUGAUGUCCGACGGAGUCAAGUAAAGAAGUUGAAAAAAUCGAUUUUUGAUGCAAUUUUAGAAGAUCCAAAGAUGAUAAGAUCUGUGCUUGAGGGAACUUAUUUUGCAUAAGAAAGACUUUCAUUAAUUUCUUAAUUCGAGUAUAAAAUUAGAGGAUUAAAACCACAACUAAUGUUCCUUUGGCUUUUCCUUGAACAAUGUUGGGUAGCUAGUGAAUUUUCUUUGGUAAGUUCGUCCUUUUCUUUGACAAUGAGAAUUGACGUAAAUUGGAUUGUAUUGAAGAUUCUAGUAACAUUAUUCUAGUUUAUAUUUCAUGAUUUAAGGGCUGAAAAUAUGUAAGUAUGUUAAAGGCUAAAUUUUAGGUAAAUAAGUGCUCCAUACUUUGUUAAUAUGCCACUUUACAAAUAAUGUAUGUGUGAACUUGAAUUUGUUUUUUCAUUUAAAGAGAACUAAUAAUGAUAUCCAUUUCCCCCGUGAUGAUUCGAACCCCCAACUUAACAAUUACUGGUGAAACGUUUUAUCCAUGUGAUGACUCUAACCCCCCAAUUUAUAAUUAAUGAUUGGAUGGGAAGCGUAUUGAGGUUGUUAGUGAUUCUUCCAAGGUUAUUUUGUAACUAUGAACUAUCGAUUUUGUAUCAAUUGUACCCUGCAUUUGUUUUUUAGCUAGAGAAAAUAUGAGAAAAGAAAUGAGACAUUUAAAGGCAUAAAUUUUUGUUAUCCCUCAUUUUCUCAUCCAUCAAAGUGAACGCACCCUUAAAUGAUGAUUUGAAAAAAUAAAGUGAUUGUUUCUACGCUAAACCUAAUUGCGUUCGGCCUUUUUCGUUAUUUUAGUAUUUUCCUCAUUUAUUUUCAAUUCUGUUUCCUAUAUAUGGAUAUUUGAUGUAUGAGAAGAUGCUUUCAUAUGAUCCAUUUCAGAAAUAAAAUUAUUUAUUUUCUUUCUCACGAAGAGCGCUCACUUUGACAUCAGUAUCGCAUGAGCUGCACAUAAUUAAUGAAAGAAAAUAAGCAUACACUUGCAUUAUAUAAGAAGAGCAUAUAUACUCGCAGCCGUUUCUCAUAAAUUUCACGCAGUUUUUCGAUCUUUAGAGCCGCCGGCAUGCUCGGCCGAUCUGAAGCUCCAGUAGUCGAUAUCGUGAAGGGCGACGAGGUCGCCGGUGGAGGAGGCGAUUCCGACCUGAACCUGCGACGGAAGAAUUUCCCCCAAAUCAUACUCGUAUUCGAGAAGGCGAGUUUCUUUGUCGCAUUUGAGCGUAACGUCGAUGAAAUUGAUGCCGUCGUAUUGUAUGUGCAGCUGCGCCUCUUUCCCGAUGCACGAAUCGCCAAAUUUCACGAAGUUGCUCGACUUUAUCGAGCUGAUGUCGAUGCCGAUGUGCGGGAGAUCGUGGCUCGGAUCCCAACCGUUGGAGUAGAGGUCGAAUUCCACGGCAAAGAAGGCGGAGGCGGCCGGGCUAUCCCCCGAGGGGUUGAAUAGGCCUAGAUUGCCUCCGUAGGAACCCGGGGGGAUGGUGGUCCCCACGGGCGCCAUGAAGAAGGCGAUGCCGUCCGCGGCCGGGCCUUUUGUGGGGGUGAUGGUGAAUUUUAUGGUGGUAUUGAAAGAUACUACAAUUGAAUUUUCCCACAAUUUGAAGGGUUUGGAGUACAAUACGCGGCCGAUGCUCGACGGCCGUGGAAGGCCGUUGGCGUCGGUCUUGGUUAGCCGGAGGGAACGGGCGCCGUCGGGGACGUGGGCGUCGCCCUGGUAGGUUAGGUCGGUGGAGUUGGCGACGAAGGAGGUGAAGGUGAAGGAGGUCUUUUGUGAGGUCGCCUUGUUUGCUAGCAUUAGGAAAAAUGCUAUGCAAAAGAGGAGAAGAAUUAGGGUUUGUAGAAGCUUGGCCAUGGCUUGAUUUGAUGGGUGGAGUAUUAUUUGGAUGUAGUGAAUAGUGGUUGGCUCUCUAGCCCUAUUUAUAUUGGUUUAAUGCCACAUUCCAUUAUUAGUUUAAUAUAUUGUAGCUCACUAUUUUUUUUGAACUUUAUGGAGAAGGCAUGAGUUUUUUAAAAAAAUUGAGAAAUGUGUAUAAAAUGAAUAAAGAGGCUCACUAAAGUUGAUUUGGCAGGUAUUAAUAAAUUAUUUGUGUGAUGAGUUUUUUGUAAAUAUUGUGUGUGAAUGAGGGUAAAAUAUAAAGGUACAUAUGUCUUAAAAGGGACGGAAAUGACAAAUACUUAUUGUGGAUAAAGGUAGUAUAAUAUACGGAGUGUAUACUUAAGUUUAUCAAUUUUAUUACUAAAUUAAAUAUGGUUAAUUUAAUAUCAAUAUGCUUAUUAGUAAUUAGUAUUACUCCAUUCAUCCCAAAAACAUCAAUCUUUACUUAUUUUUUCGUUCGUCUCCAAAACAUCUUCCUAAUCUAUUUUUAUGUCCUGUAUUAAAUUUUCAAGCUAGUUUCACUCCCCAACUAUCGUUUAAAUUAUACAUACAUAUAUGGACGACUUGAAAAUUUGUUAAGGCAAUUGAUUAUGCCCAUGCCGUAUAGAAUCAAAAACCAUUCCUAAACAAAAAAUAGAAUAAUUAAGAAAAUAAUCUAGAAUAUAAAUAUAGAACUUAAAUUCUUUGCCACAAAUUUAAGUCAAUCAGCCGACAUAGUAAAUGUAUGUGUUUACAAGUAAUCAUGCCUUGUCUUGAGAUUCAAGUUGGCAAUUGAAGCAAAAUUUCUCACACAUAGCUAUCUACUCUAGCUAUGAAAUCAUGCAUUGUCUUGAGAUUUAAUUUGGCCCAUGAAUCCAAAUUUUGCAAUCAUGCCAUGUCUUAAGAUUCAAUUUGGCCCAUGAAACUAAAUUUCUUGAGCCUAUCUCUAACCUCUUUGAUAUUCAUAUAUAAUAACACCUUUAAAACACACACAACCCACUUCUAAAGUUCUACAUGUAUACACACGAACUCAUGCUUAUGUCACAAAUUAAGUUUUUCAAAAAUAAACUUUUCCCUAUUUGAAUUCCUUAUGUAUUCAGUUUGUUUUUAAUAUUUAAACUAUGUUAUUACAACAAAAUUAUCUAGCAGGGACAUGAUUUUAGCAACAUAAAAAAAGAUGUCAUAAAUUUCUUACUCCCUCCGUCCUCCGAAGCUUGAUCAACAAUUUCUUUUCGGCACGGAGUUUAAGGAGUUAAUAUUUUGUAUGUUAAUUAGUGUGGUAGGUGAAAAAAUGAAAAGAUGAAUAACGGGAAAAGUUGUUGCCAUAUAAGGAAAGUGAUCAAGCUUCGCGGAUAACCCAAAAAUGAAUACUGCUCAAGAUUCGCUGGAAGAAUGAAGUACAAUUUUAGGCAUAACAAAAAUUUAUUUACAUCCACACAUGCAUGCACCGAUACUUUAUCACAUGCAAAAUUACAAGUAACUUUGCUAAUUACAAAAAUUAAUACAUGAACCCUCAAAUGUCACUAGAUGUAAUGAUAUUUUUAUAUUUUUUCGACACACAUAAUAGUUACUCAUCACAAAAUAUCAAUAUUUUUAUCAUAUAGUGAUAUUUAUAAGUUUCACAAUUUUUCAAAUAUUAUGUCAAUGCUAGCUUAGACAUUUUGUUUUGACACUUUGUAUUGAAACAUGUUUUUUACAAAAAUAAAAUAAUUGAAUUUAUUAACGAAUAUUUAAACAAUCAAUCAAUAAUAACUACAAAGUGAAGCAAUUCAAGUUAAAAGGUAAAUUCUAAAUUUAAAUUUGAAAAACAAGAAAAUUCGAGCCUUAAUUUUUUUUAUUUUUUUAUAUACGCACUACAAAUCUCCCAUAAAUCUUAAAUCAAAAUUUAACCUUACAACAAAAAAUAAAUAUAUAAACUAAAAUGGAGUAUGAUAAUAUAGUUUUAUCAAAUUAUUUGAUAAUUCUAUUAAUAAAAGAUAAAAAAAAAAAUAAGGGGGGCCCACGGGCAUGCUGCCCCCAUAUGCUAUGGACCAUGGUGGCUAGGUCACUGCGCUCUCGAGAUCUACACUAUUUAUACGUGGUAUUCAUUGCGAAUUAUUUUGCAUUAUCUUUGUUUAUUUUUCUUAUAUUGGGAAAGAAAACAUGAGUAAUAUAUAGUAAUCUUUUAGAAGUCCAGUUACCAAUGUCGUCAAAAUUAUCUUGUCUAUUUUUAGAAGUUCAGAUAAACAUGCAACACAUUUUCAGAAGAAAUUUAAUAAUCUCUUACGAUUUACAUUUAUUUUUUAAAUAAUUAUCUCAGUGGUGAUAAAAUAAAAAAAUCGACUACAUUUUUCUAAGUAAUUUAUUAGAUACAAAAUAUUAUGAUUUAUGUUUGUAUAUUUUUUGUUUCCCAUUAGUGCAUUAUCAUUUCUAAGUAUCUUCUCACUUGUUCACUGAUUCACUAUUGGAUUAACAUGAAUAUACGAAUUUCAUAGUAUACCAACUGUUCGAUAAAAGUCCUAAAAGAAAUCUUCCAUAGAUAACCUUGCAAAUAACAGGAAACUAAAAUUACUCCCAAAGCAUUCCAUACAUAGAGAUGCGGAUUACCUUAUUCGUAGACUUAACGAGAGUACACUCGAUCGCUAGUCCUUAUUUACGACCCAAACUACACAUACAUUACAAAAUCACACAACUUGACGAAUGUUUCCACCGAGCUCCUUCCUGCUCUUGGCAGCGACGCCGACGUUUUGCACCAUGGUGGCCGUGAAAUACCACGCCACGAUGUCGUGUCUGGCGACGACUUGCCCCGUGGAGGCGGAGAGCCCGACUUGGACCUGCUCAGGAAGGAAGCCGCUCAAAUCGUACACAUAGCUGACCUCGAACGCUUUCGAGCCGGCGGUGACGUGGACGUCGAUCAUCUUCGUGGCGGCGGCGUAGUUGAUCCUUGCCGUCACCUGCUGCCCGAUUAUGGAGCCGUCGACCUCCGUCGUGUUGCCGGAUGACCUAGAGCCGAUGUCGAUGCCGAUGUGGGGAUAGUUCGGAUCCCACGCGCCGUUGACGUAGGUGUCGAACUCGACGGCGAAGACCGAGGGGCUGCUGCCGGAGGAGCCGAAGAUUCCGAGGUUGGAUCCGCUAGAGGAGGAAGGGAUGGUGGACCCGACGGGGGCGAUGAAGAAGGCGAGGCCGUCGGCGGCAGAGUUGCCGGGGCCAGGUGUGAUGAUGAAGUUUACGGUGGUUUCAAAGUCGACUUGGCCGCCGGUUUGUGAGAACUGGACCGGGUUCGAGUACAAUACCCGGCCAACUUUGGCGGUCUGUGCGUCGGUGAGGCGGAGGAAGGUGGAGUCCGACGGGAAAUGGGCGUCGCCUUGGUAGGUGAGGUCGGUCGGCUGGUCGCCCCAGAAGUCGUAGGUGAAGGACGUCGAUUGGGACUGCGCCACGUUGGCGGCGGCGAGGAGUAGGGCGACGGAGGAGAGGAGAGGAAUUAGGGUUUGGAGAAGCUUGGCCAUUGCUUAAUUGAUUUGGAUGUGGUGGAUGAUGGUGAUAUGUCUUAAGCUUGCACUCCUAUAUAUACUAGUGUAGUUCAUGCAUGAUAAUGUUGUUUAAUCAUCAUAUAUUUUAUUUCAUUAAAAUGAAUCACCUCGUCCAUUCGAGGUAAAUGAACCAUGUGAUCUUAUGUACUACCAGCCACAUUUUAAUUUGCUCGUUGGAAUAUUAUCUAUAGUUGUAUCUAUUGUAUUUGUAUAAAUGAUUUUUGGAAGGGAACUUAGAAAAAGUUCUUGAUAGGGGCUGUAUUUUUUAAUUUCAAGUGCAAAAUUAAGUUUUGAUAGACAAUUUACUUAUGAUUCAAUUUAACGAUCGGGUUUUCUGAAAAAAAAAAAUUCACACAAAAAAUCGAUUAUUUAAUAAUUUUAUAAGAAAAAAGAAGAAGAAGAAAUUUUCUAUUUAGGAUAUACACGAGCAGAUGAGAUCCUCUGUCCCACUAUUUUGUGUGUACCACCAUGUACCAUUCUUAAUUUAUUUAUUUUAGUAAUUAUUUUUUAUAAAAAUAAAAAUUAUUAUUAUAUUUUUUAUUUUCAUUUAAGUGAGUUACUAGAUUUAUUUGGGGUGAGCACAGGUUAUUUUGGAAAAGGAGAAUAUCUGUAAGAUGAUGUGAAAAUUAUUCAAUAUAAGCACAUAUAGGGGUUGAGUUCUCAAAGGAACUUAAUUAAUAUCCAAUGUGAUUGAUACAUUUCGACUAAAUGGAUGGACUGUGACGCCCCGACCAAAAGUAAAGAGUGAUUGUGAUCGGUGCACAAGGCAUGGAUGAAAAGCGGUUCCUAGUAAUGCUUCGAUACGGAGGAUACAUGAAUGAAUCGAAACACACCAGAAAGAGAGGGAUUCCAUGAGUACGUACGCAGGUAUAUGACUGCAUAUUCGAGGAGCUUAAAUAAUUUUAUUGGUGUUACUCAUAUCAACAAGAUGCAUCUUCUUUUUUGGUGACCAUAUGAAAUAAACUCCAAGGUUAAGCGUGCUUGGCGUAGAGCAACUUGAUGAUUGGUGACCUCCCUAAGAAGUUUAUCAGAAAGCGUGCUAGUAAGAACAAAACAUGCUAGAAAAGACUCAUAUUAGUCUGUGGGGACAGCCGUUAAAUUUGGAUUCGGGUCUUUACAAGUGGCAUUAGAGAUUAACCUCUCACAGUAUGGUGCGGUUCGGGAACGAACCAAGCGGAAGUUGGUACUCAAUAUUCCAUCUAUUGUGAGUUUCUUUGUCUUCUUCAUCUUUCUUUUACUCUGCUGUCGAGUUUCAGAGAGUAAUCAGAUAGGUUUUCAUUCGAGUUGAGUUUCUUGAGUGAUAAACUGUUAAUUGUGAGUUUCAUUCGAUCAUUUGUUGAUUAUAAAUAUCUGCACAUGGAUAUUGGUCAAUUUAGAUACACUGAUCUUCAAAUUGAUUGACGAAUCUUUAGAAUUCAAAAUUUAAAUCAAAUACGCGUGUUCAUAGUUAAUUGGUAAGUACACUUUUUUUUNAUAUAAAUAUAAUUGACUCGAGAUCUCUGCUACUUACGCAUACUUCGCUCGAGACAAAAAUAAAUAAUUGAUCAUUGAGAACUCCGCUACCACACCAUACUCGUGUACUAUUUAUCAUUGUUUAUGAUUAUUAAUAAAGACGUGUCUUUGCCUGAUAAAUUUAAUUUUCAUACUCUUGAUUCUUUUUUGGCCAUAUCAUUUUUUAAAAAAUUGGGAGGGGAAUGGUGGAAAUUGAAUAUGAAAAAUACCAGUCAAAUGAUACAUGUGCACUUUCAAAGACAAAACAUAAAUGUAACCUUCGUUUGUAAAACAUAGAAAUUCUACCAUAUAUUUGUGAUUAUUUUACCUUUAUACGAUCUAUUUAUAUAUAUUUAUUAGAAUUAAUAAAAAUAUACUACAUUCGUCCACGAAAAAGAAUCUCAUUGUGUGCUGGAUGUGAGUCGUAUCGAGAGUGAGAGGGAACACAUUGUCUCCGGUCUCUGCCGUCUUGGCGAGAUCUUCGGCAUUGGCCUGAUCCGGCCGCUGAGGUGGCCGGUAGGUCAUCCAUGGAGUAUGGCUAUAUUCAUACUCGUAUCCCAUUUUGGUUGUAGAACAAGAAGGCGGUGUUGUUGAAAUCGUCGUCGUUGAUAUCCUUUGGAAAACCGGCUGGGAUAGUUUUCGCCAUUAGAGUGAUGUGCGUAGAAGAGAGGAUCUUCCGGCGGUCUUCGCGGAAACCGUUGUCGCGUGUCCAUAGUUCAUGGAUUGAAAAUAUGCAGGUAAAGCACCCGGCGUACUCGGCCAUACAAUUAACUCGCCAUCAUGAGCUAUAAUUCUAUUCGAGUAAGUUCAAUCUCUAAUGAAUUAAUAUAUUUUUAUAAAUAUAUAAUUUGCAAAAUAACCUUAAAAUAAAAUAUGUAAUAAGGGUAAAAUAGGCAAUCCACAUGUUGUGCUCAAUGCUCUUUUUAUAUUACUAGGAGAAAGAUAAUUAAUGUUAUUUUAUCUAAUAAAAUAAAAAAUAUAAAUAUAAUAUUUAUUAUAUUUAAAUUUUUAAUUAACAAUUUUGUUUAUUUAAUUCUCUUAUCUCUUACAAUAUUUUUUUUUAGAAAAUCUAUUAGUUCAUUACUUCGACUAAAUAUAAUUUAUUGGAUAGAUAUAUUUAUUUAUAAGCCUUAUCAAUAGCUAUAGAUAUAUAUUACAUAGAUUUAAUGUAAUAUUUAAUGAAUCAAUAGCUCUUUUCUUUUAUAUUAGUAUAGAUUAUAUAGAUAGAUAUAUAUAGUGCAUGCAUGAUAAUGUUGAUUGAUCAUCGUAACUAUAUAAUUUAUUGCACUAAUAAUGAAUCACGUUCCCACUCGAGGUAUAUAAAAUGAAUCAUGUGACCUUUUCUACUACCCGACACAUUUUGCUCCUUGGAAUAUUAUUUAUAAUUGUGUCUAUUGUAUAGUGCAUGCAUGAUAAUGUUGUUUAAUCAUCAUAAAUCUUCAUGGCUCAUCCACCUCAUCCAAUCGAAGCAUAUAAUGAACCAUGUGAUCAUAUCUACUACCUGACACAUUUUGCUUCUUGGAAUGCUAGCUAUAAUUGUAUCUAUUGUGUGAAUGUAAGCAAAAGGGCGCGCACAAUUUUUUAUUUUUUUUUGGAUAGGUGACUCGCUCAAAAUACCUAUUGAAUUGACUCGUAAUCGCACGAGGUCAUUCUAGCGUAGUAAGCUAACCCAUGUCGUAUCUCACAAGGAAGAUUAAGCAGGACGACUAAUUUUGGAUUAUUUUUAAUCAAAUGUUGGAUAUUUUUUAAUUAGAGUAAAAUUAAAAUAAGUAAAUUAUUGUAUAUUUUCAGAUUCGGAAACUAAUGGCUUUAUUUUAAUUUAAUCAUUUUCAUAUGUCAGUUAUAUUAUGUAAAUGACGUUUUUAGUAACAAACAAAUGACAUUUUAAUCAAUAAAUGAUACUUUUAUCAAUAAUAAAUGAAACCAUAUUAAGGUAAAUAGGGUAAAGGUUAGACUUAACUGUGAAAGCAUCAUGAGUUUUAUGUGUAACAUUUUCGGUGUGAAAAUUGAUGAGUUAAAAAAAAUGCUCCAUAUUGAAUUCGACAUUAGAUGAAUCUACAGUAGAUUUUCAUGCAUGAUCUAAGAGCUGAAAAUGAUUCACGGUCUAUAUUUAUUCUAUCAAAUUCCAUAUCACUUUAAAUCUCAAAUUACAUUUGCACUAUAUAUGAUUAUAUCCUAAAUUAUCAUAAAUAUGAACCGCUUAAAUCUGGCGUCGUUGCACCGCGGACAUCUUGCCGCUGCUUUCUCCCACCAUUGCCCUUGCUGCCCUCAUCUUAGGUGCCAAUUUUUUGCUCGUCGUGCAGAAUUUGAAAGGGGUAAAUUAUUUUUUCAAUUUUUUAUUGCAUUUUGCUGUCUAAGUUGAUUUCUCAAGUAAAGUGGACUUGGGUUUUGUUUCGAUUAUAGCUGAAUUCGAUGGCGCUGUGUGGUUAGAUCUGUAAUUUUGACGUGUUGUUGAAGUGUGCGGGAUUGAAUGUGAUCUGGGAGAAUUUAAGGGUUUUGGGACGUUAGUAUGAUGAUGGUGGGAUUUGAAUGAAUUUGAAUACCAGAUUAUGGUUGAUGUUUAAUUAUGUGAAUCUUGCGAUCUGUGUUGAAAUUAAUGUACAGUAUCUUCGCCUAGCCGGGGGUUCACCAUUUGGUUCCCGACCGUCCUGCUGCCUUCACUCCACACUCAAGUGCCAAUAUCUUCUUCUCGUUUCUCUUCCUUCUUCUUCUCCUCUUAGUACCUGCAAGACAGAAGGAAAAACCAGCAAGUAUAAAGAAAAAUCAGAAAACUUAAAGAAGUAAAGAAAGAAAGAAAACAAAGGAAACUCGAGGUGGGAAAAAGGUGUCCUCGGGACACAGGUGGCUCAGAUUUUUCCCACAGUGGCAACACACUCCGGCAGCUCAAAGACCACGGCACAAAGGGGAAGGGAAGUCAGAUCGGAGCUCAAAUCUGACGAGCACAGCCACCAAUAAUCAGGAAUCCGGUGGACAGGAUUCCGGCGGCUCAGAAAUCCUUCGCUUUAUCACCAAACAGGAAAUCUAAGGUCAGCAAUCCGACAAUAAUGCUAUCAACAGGAGGAAGCUCUCACUUUACGGCCACAACACCGGAAACCAGAACGGAAACCAGAGAACAGAAGGAAUAGCAGAGCCUUCAAGGUUGUGAACAUACUACAGAACUUCCCCCAAUCGAUUGCUUUAUAACCGAGACAGAGAAGGGUCGGGAAGAUGUAGUGGGCUUUGGGAAGGAGGAGGAAGCCAUUAAUGGUGGUGGAGCUCGAGGGAAAGCGAGAUCAGCAGUCGUGAAGACUUAGGGUUUGGGAGGGGAUUUGAGGUGGAGCGGCGGAGGUUGAAAUGAGGGAAAGGCCGAGUGAGAGAGGGAGUAUUUCAGUGGAUAAUGGGCUAGGGUAUUUUUGAGUUAACGGGCUAUAGGUGUCUGGGCCCAAAAGUUGGGCCAGAGAAGGGAUAAAGAGCAUUGGGCCAACAUUCCACAAUUAAGACAAUUAAGAGUAGAAAUUCUUCUUGAUUUGCUAAUUUAUUUAGGAUUAGCGAUAUUAGUUUGGAGUUUUAGAUGUCGAUUGAUUUCGUGAUCUUGAUUUAUGUGAUAAAUGCCUCUCAUCACUAAGAUUUGGAAUAUAUUGGAUAUCUAGGAUAGUGAUAUUAGUUUGGAGUUUUAGAUGUUGAUGUGUCUUUUUAGGCUGCGUUUACUUUGAUGGAUAAAUUUAUAUAUGGAAAAGGAUGGAUAACACAAAUUUAUGCUUUUAAAUGUCUCCUUCCUCUUCCAACAUUUGACACAAAAAGAGAUGCUCGCUAUUUUUUCUUCCUUAUCUUCACUUCAAGGAUGGAUAAUAUUAUCCCUCCAUUUUGGUGUGAUAAUAUUAUCCAUCAUUGAAGUGAAGAUAAGGAAGGAAAAAUAGUAGAGCAUCUCUUUUUGUGUCAAAUGUUGGAAAAGGAAAGAGACAUUUAAAGGCAUGAAUUUGUGUUAUUCAUCAUUUUCCAUAGAUAAAUUUAUCCAUCAAAGUAUACGAAGCCUUAUGUGAUAAAUGCUUUUUUAGGGGGGCCCACGGGCAUGCUGCCCCAUAUGCUAUGGAGUAUGGACCAUGGUGGCUCGGUCACUGCGCUCUCGAUUGCGAAUUAUUUUGCAUUAUCUUUGUUUGUUUUUCUUAUAUUGGGAAAGAAAACAUAGAGUAAUAUAUAUUUUAGAAGUCCAGUUACCAAUGUCGUCAAUCUCGAGUGAAAAUAAAUAUUACCAUAACACAAAAAUGACAAAGCUAUUGAUUAGUGACGAUAUGUUAGAAGUUCAGAUAAACAACACAUUUAUUCUUGUGUAUAUUAUAUUAACGUUUAUUAUAUAUUAUAAAAAGAACAUAUUCUUUCAAAAUUAUCUUGUCUAUUUUUAGAAGUUCAGAUAAACAACACAUUUUCAGAAGAAAUUUAAUAAUCUCUUACGAUUUACAUAUAAUUUUUAAAUAAUUAAUUAUCUCAGUGGUGAUAAAAUAAAAAAACGAAGUAAUUUAUUAUAUACAAAAUAUUAUGAUUUAUGUUUGUAUAUUAUUUGUUUCCAUUAGUGCAUUAUCAUUUCUAAGUAUCUUCUCACUUGUUCACUGAUUCACUAUUGGAUUAACAUGAAUAUACGAAUUUCAUAGUAUACCAACCGUUCGAUAAAAGUCCUCAAAGAAAUCUUCCAUAGAUAACCUUGCAAAAGUACGUGUAUCUAUAUUAAUAGAAUAAGAGCCUAAGGAAUCUUAAAACACAAUUUUUGGAUUGCCUAUUUUACCACUAUUAUAUAUUAUUUUAAAAUUAUUUUACAUAUUAUAUAUUAAUAGGAAUAUAUUAAUUCAUUAGAUAUUACACUAAAUCUAUGUGAUAUAUUUCUAUAGCUAUUGAUAAGGCUUAUAAAUAAAUAUAUAUCCAUCUAAUAAAUUAUCUAAUAAAAGUAAUGAAUUAAUAGAUUUUUUAAAAUAAUAAAUUAUCAAAUAAAAUAACAUUAAUUACACACGUACGUUCUUUCUGCUAGCUAGUUAAAUAAAAAGAAGAAGAAACUGAGACUGAAAAAGGGAGAAUUAAGAUAGUCCAUUAUUAUCGUCUUAUUUUUAGAACUUAAACGAGAGAAAAGUCCAUCGCUAGUCCUAAUUUACAACACAACACAACACAUGAUAAUAAAUUUAAAUCACACAUAUUGCCGGAUGUACCCUUCCUCCUCUUUGCCGGCGGCGGCAUGCACGAGGGUGGACGUGAAAUACCACGAGACGAUGUCGUGCACGGCGUCUUGGCCUCCGGUGGCCGCGGAGAUCCCGACCUGAACCUGCUGAGGAAGAAUGGCGCUCAGGUCGUACACAUAGCUCACCUCGUAUGUUUGCGAGCCGGCGGCGAGGCUCACGCUGAUCAGCUUAGUGGCUUCCAGGUAGUUGAUGCGCGCAGUCACCUGCUGCCCGAGCAACGCGUUGCCGACGUUGGUCACGUUUUUGGAAACAUUAGAUUCGAUGUCGAUCCCGAUAUGGCGAUAGCUAGGAUCCACUCCGGGGUUGGAGAAGACGUCGAAUUCCACGGCGAAGACGGCGGGGCCGACGCCGGAGGAGUUGAAGAUUCCGAAGCAGCCGCCGGUGAAGCCGAGGGGUAAGCCGACGGGGGCGAUGAAGAAGGUCACGCCGUCGGCGGGGUUCGUGUCGCCUGCGUUGGGGGUUACGGCGAACGUCAGGGUGGUCUCGAAGUCGACCUGCGCGCCGGCCUCCCAGAACGUGAUCGGGGCUGAGUACACGGCCCGGCCGACGCUGUACUGGACCGCGCUGCCGGAGCUGGUGGUGUUGGUCAUGCGGAGGAAGGUGGAGUCCGACGGGAAGUGGGCGUCGCCUUGGUAGAGGAGAUCGGUCGGCUGGUCGCCCCAGAAGUCGUACGUGAAGGCUGUCGAUUGGGACUGCAUGCGCCGUGUUGGCGGCGGUGGCGAGGAGGAGGGCGAUGGAGAUUAGGGUUUGGAGAAGCUUGGCCAUGGCUUAAUUGAGUUAGUAGUAUUUGCUUUGGAUGUGGUGUGAUGAUGGUGUAUUGGUGUUAACUCUUGCUCCUAUUUAUGCUAGUAUAGUGCUUGAAUGAAAAUGUUAUUUAAAUUAACAUCAUAUUUUUUAUUACACAAAAAUGACUCACCCCAUCUUCUCGAGAUUAACUGAACUUGUGAUCUCUAAUAAUUUAUAACCUACCACAUUGUAGUUGUUGGAGUAUACUCCCUCUGUCCCGGUUUUAGCACGAGUUUUAAUAAAUUGGUUGAUUGUAUUAUGAGUAGAAUAAGGAUAAUAUUUUUUAUGGAAGUGUUAAAAUAAUUAAAAUUGAGAAAAUGUUUCACCUAUUUUUAUUAAAAAUAGAAAUGAAUUUUAAAAUAUGGGACGACGGCCAGAAAAAGAAAAUAUAUAUGGAUACUAAAAGUUGGGACGGAGUGAGUAUUAUCUAUAGUGGUAUCUAUUGUAUGAGUACAAGAGAUUUACUUGACUUGUUGAGGUAUGGAGAGAUUAUUACAAACCACGUGAAAUUGAGUUCUUGCUCCCACUGUAAAAGCAAUAAAUAUAGGGAAAAGAAAAUUAAUACUUCCUUCGUCCAAGAAAUGAGUACACAUAUUUCUUUUUUAGUCCGUUCAUGAAAUGAGUACUCAUUAAUUUUUCUUUUUAUCAAGUGUACCUCACACAACCCUUUAAUUAAUUAAUACCUUUAAAAAGUGGGUCCCUUAUUCCACUAACACCACACUCAAUCAUUUCUUAAAACCUGUAACGUCCCCAAAUGAGAUUCAUUUCGUGGAUUGAGUAAAUUCUAUACUACAAAUUAAUGGUUCGAAUUCACUUUAAAAAAUAAACUACAAUUAAGAGUCCCUCUCUUAAUUGGAAUUCAUAGACCAUCUGCUUCAGUCGUGCCCGAAGACAGAAAAGGUUUGGAUUGGAAUUCAUAGGUGGCUAGGGAAUAAAAGCAGUGUGGCCUCAAUCAUUGAAGCACACUUCGAUUUGUUCACAAAUCUUGACAAAGGAAAGGAAGGUCGAUUUUUCUAGCGACAGUAUGGGUCUAUACCAUUUGGUUGCUGUGGAAAUGACGUAACGAGAGCAGAUUUGAGGGCAAGACUUGGGAGAUCAAUGACGUGAUCGAAGAAGUGAAAGUGAGGAUGUGGAGUUGGAACAAGAUUUUUGGACUACAUGUUAAAGAGAUUAGCUCUCAAUCUUGGUUUUCUUGUGAAACUCCUCUUGUUUUGUGUAAUUUGGUCGUAUCUCUGGUACCAAACUCUCUCCUAAUAAAAUUUCUUUUCUGAUUAAAAAAAAAAAAAAGAGUCCCUCUCUUAAUCAAGUAGACUGGAUGCGGUAAGAGAGAAAUCACUUCCAACUUAUCGAUUUUACUAGCAACAACUAGAUUUAUACUGAAGCUAAAUUGGAUCAGACUCUAGGAUUCACUAGUCUUUUACUCAAGGUGAGUCGGUUUACGAGUCUCAAACUCAAGGUGAACUAGAAUGUCUGUCAAUACGAACGUUGGGAGUUCGAGGGUUUUUUAGGACAGUAACUUAGAUUGAUUUGGAAAUUAGGACAAUAACUUUCGGACUUGUAAAAAUAGGACUCUAAUUCUUUUUAAGAGUAAAAUAGGACACUAAUUAAUAAGUGUUACAUCCGCAGGACAUUUUUCGGCCAAUUAUCGGCCGAGAAAUGUCCUACUUUUACGACGCUUAUUAAUUAGUGUCCUAUUUUUACAAAUUCGAAAGUUUUGUCUUAAUUUUCAAAUCAACAUAAGUUAUUGUCCUAAAAAAUCCCCUGACUCCGAACGUUGGAACAAGCUCGGCAAUAUACUGCUAUUCAACAUUAAUGGCACUUUGCACUAAAUGAAUUGGUGUCGAAUUAAUACAUCGUCUUGCUGCUCAUAUCUAUAUAAUAAAUGCAUACCUGCACCUCGAUAUUAAUCAAUUUAGAUACACUAAAUCUCGGAUAUACUUAACAAAUGGAUUAAUAAAUGUAUAAAUUUUAGAUUUCAGAAAAUCAAAUACAGGUGUUCAUAAGGAAAUGAUUAAAAACCCGUGUGUCAUUUAGAUAAGAUUAUUAUAGUACAGUUAACGAUGGUGAAAUAUUCUUUUACAUUAGAUAUAAUAGCAUUCCAGAUCUCAAUGGCAUUUUUUGUUAUAACAAAAAAAAAUUGUAUAUGUUCCAUACUAUCCUCAAACUUCAAAUUAUUAUUUUUCUUUAUUUUAAAAUUUGUAUUGGCACAUAUCUGUCAAUUAAUCAAAUUCAUAUCAAAACAAUAAUUCGAAUGAUAUAUUAGUUGGCUAGCUAUAAAUUACAAAUUAUUAGUGAUUAGGCAUGUUUUACACAAAUUAUUAGCCCAAACAACAUUUGAUUGUGUGCAAUGCACACACUUACUAAAAGCAGAUGUGAUCAUCUGUCCCACAAUUUAGUGUGUAUCACCGUGUACCAUUCUUAAUUUGUCUAUUUUAUAAUUAUUUGUUGUAAAAAUAAAAAAAAUAUUGUUAUAUUAUGAACUCUAAUUAAAAUUUAUAACUAAAAAUAAAAAUUAAAAAAAAUUAUAUACCCUAACUUUGAAUUAAUUAACCCAAAUAAUCAAUUAUUAAUUCAAAUAAAUAUAAAAAAUAAUUAUAAACUCUAAUUGAAUGAGUGAACCCUUAUUAAUUAGUUUCUUAUUAUAUUAUAAUAAAUUAAAAUUGAAGAAAAUAUAAUUAUAUAUUAUAAUAAAUUAAGAGUGGUACACGGUGGUACACACUAAAUUGUGGGACAGAUCCAUGUGCACUAAAUUAUAGGUACGGAGGUGCGGAUGCGGGGGCGAUACGAUACGAGUACGGGGAUACGGGUUCUAAAAAAUUAUAGGGUGCGAUUCGGCAAGGAUACAUCUAAUUAUUAAAAUUUUAUGAUAUACUAAUUGUUAGAAAUGGAUAUUGGGCCAAUUCCUCCCUUAAAAGGCCUUAUAAGGGAGAGGGUUACCUCACCAUAUAAAGUGGCUCAUGCCACUAUCUCCAAUCCAAUGUGGGACACUUCAAUACUAAUGCUUAUAAAAUAUAUACAAUUUAAAUUUUCUUAAAUUAAUUAUAUGUAAUUUACAUUUUAUUUUACCCAAAAGUUAAGCAUUUUCAAUUAUAUAAGUUAAUUGAGCAACAAUAUAACGAUUCAAAUAUUAUUAGUCCAAUAUAUAAGUCAUAACUGAAAAUAAAAUUAUCAAAAUAACCUUGUGUAGGCCUUUCGUGCACGAGAUACGUGAAUUUCGCCUAUGGAAUUUGCAAAUCCGGUUUAUUUUUAUAAAUUGUUUUAAAAGAUACGCACUGGUGAAUCGGUGCGAAUCCGACAAGAAUUCGAGAAAUCACACCCUAAAAGAAUCCGAUUCGCCGUACAUCUAAUUUUUGAAGAAUCCGUGCAUCAUAGGUGAGAAGAAACACAAGAGAGUAAAAUGGUACAUAAUGUAGAAAGACUUUUCUCCAAAAUAAAUGUUACAGUCUUCUAAUAGUCGAAAGGCGCAUGAAAAUGCGCAGUUAUUCGAAAGAAAGGAAAGGCUUAUUCAGCCACACAAUGACAUGGAAUUCGAAUUGAAAUUGAAAUUCAGACAAAUCCCAAACACGGUGAUGCAGAGAUCAAGCGGUAACACGAGGAAUGAUCUUAAUACCACCGAUGGUAACUUCGUCGCCGUUAAUGUGGGGAACGAUGGUGACGACAAUGAAAUCAUCAUCAGCAAUAUUGAUGUUCUCAUAGAGCUCCCUCAAGUUCAAGCGAAGGUCGUUGGCGCUUUCCGCAGCCCUAACCCUAUGCGGAAUCUGCGUGAAACUGCCGGCGAACUCGGCCCUGGCGAGGUCCUCUGGCUUGUCGUCUUCGUCAUUCACGAACACAUCGAACCUCACGAGCUUCGAACUAUCGGUGAUUAUGUUCUCCAGCACGAGCACUUCGUCGGCUUUGCCUUUGGUUGGUUUGGGCACCAAAACCCUGUGAGUCUUGUUGAGAGUGAGAGGGAACAGAUUGUCUCCACUCUCUGCCCUCUUGGAGAGAUCUUCGAUAUUCACCGGCACCUCCCUCCGCGGUGGCCGGUAGGCUGUCCACGGAGUUUCGCUGUGUUCAUACACGUAUCCCAUUUUGGUGUGGUCCAAGCAGUCGGCCACCUUGACGCGCACGAGGUUCUUCUUCUCGUCGUAGAACAUGAACGCCGCGUUGUUGAAAUCGUCGGGGUUGGGGACGACGAGGUCGUUGAUAUCCUUGGGGAAAACGGAUGGGAUAGUUUUCCAUAUGGUCCACAUUCUGUCGACGUUAGCGUGAUGUGCGUAGAAGAGAGGGUCUCUUCCGGCGGAGUAGAAGUUCCCCAUGUCUUCGCGGAAAUCGUUGGCGGGGUUUCCGGUCCAGACGUGGACGCCGCCGUGUGAGCCGCCCUCCGACAAUCCUCCCUUGGCGCGUGGCGGGGGCAAGUCCCCGGAAACGUAAGGAUCGCCCAUGAAGUCGAUGGCGGAUUCGACAUCACCAAUCAUUUCCUUGUACAUCUGAGUGAGAUUGUUUUCGAUGAUCGUUACAGGAUCGGUGAUCGGGGGGGUGGUUAUGGCAAGAGCAACGAGGGCCGGGGGGCGAUGCGUUGGGUCGCGGUUGACGUCGUAGAGCGGGGAUUCUUCCCUGUCGAACGGCCUGGGCAUCUGCAUACCCCUAGGGUUGUCCCAGUUCCAGUAGGGCAGGGCGAAAUCGGGAUCUCCGAUGAGUUCGCCCAUGAUCCUCUCGAAGAAAUAGAGGUACCACCUGUGGAAGGGGUGGAUCCAGAAUUUGUCAUUAGGAGGGACUAAAUUUGUUGAAGCAUGACGUCUCAAAUUAUUAGCCAAUUUUUUUUAGCAUUCCAUACAGUUCAUUUUUUUGUCGAACUACAUUCGAUUAAUUCAACAACAAGAACAUUGAAAGCAUAUAAAUACUUACCUCUCAAAAAUUGUUUCAUCUUCUAAGAAGAUAAGCUAAUUUUCAUCAUGGCAGUUCAUAAUUUUAAUUUAACUUGAGGAUUGACUCAAAUUCAACACUGAGAAUCAACUAAGAAAGGAAAGUAGACAAAAAUAACAUAAAUUUAACAAACUAACAUAUCAAAUUUAAAUCACUAUAAAAUAUUAAACAGUUAAAACGUGGAUACUAUAAUUAAUAAAACAAUGUAUUUUAUUAUCUCUUGUAUUUCUUAUCUAUACUAAUAGAAAAAGAGUCUAAGACAGUCUAAGGCACAACUUGUGGAUUGCCUAUUUUACCCUUAUUAUAUAUUUAUUAUUAUAUUUACAAAAUAUAAAUCUAUUUUGAUAAAUAUUUAUUUGUCACUCAAAUCUAUAAAGAAUACUUUAUAUCUAUAGCUAUUGAUAAGGCUUAUAAAUAAAUAUAUUCAUCCACAACGUACGUUCUUUCUGCUAGUAUAUAAUAAAAACAAAAACAAAAAACUCAAAAUUUGGGAGGCGGUCGAUCCGCUGCUAACCUGUGGAAAGGGAAGAAGAUCCAUGAGUUGUGAACCUGGAUAUCGAUGCCGGGGUGGUCCACCUGGUCGUAGGGGCCGUUGCAGUAAGCGCAGUGGAUGUUGGCCUGCUGAGUGAAGCCACGGGGAUCGUCGGGGUCCGUCACGUCCAGUUCCUUCAUCUUCUGGAUGGCCAACUCAUACUUGCGUACGUAUUCCGGUGUCAGCCUGUGCGCCGCCGGCCUAACGCGAGGUUUAGUGAACCUCGGAAGCUUGUAGUCGCUCUGAACGUCGGUGUAGGGCGGGCAGCAGUUGACGUCUAGAGAUAUUACCUCUUGGUUUCGAGUGGUGUAGGCACCUUCGGGGUCGCAGGUGCUCAGGUCAGGAGGCAAAAUCGGAAGCGCCUCAGCUUUGCGGAUGGCGCUGCCUGCGCCGUAUAGACCGCCCAGCCCAAGCAGCAUGUUUCUGCGGUCUAUACGGCCGCUGCCACCGCCACCGCUGCUGCAUGACACCUGAAAGCGGCCGUGGCUCCGCCGGCUGCUGAGCUGGGAGGGCUUGCGAAAUGGGGAGUUGGUGGCGGCGGCGAUCGCCGUGAAUGAAGAUUGAAGGGAAGCCAUGUUUGAGUGAUUGAUUGAUGGUCGUUGUGAUUACCUGGGGAGGCAUGUCUUUAUAUAGCAGAUGUGACACGAGUUUUAAGAAAAAUAAAUUAUCCGUUGAAUAAUUAAAUCGCCAUGUUUCUAUAAUUUAUUCCUAAUGGAUCUAGUCAAACUAAUCGUGCAAUAUUUAAUAAACCACGCAGCAUCAUUUCCGAGACUAAUAAAUGACAUUUUGAACCAGCUAAUCAAUUCCAUAUAAUUAACCAUUUGCGAGGCUGGCUGCCCUUCACUAAAUGGUUGUAUGCACUUGUCUUUGGAAAAGCUGUUUGGCCAUAUUAUGGCCAGUCAUAAUAUGGGAAAAUAUUAUAAAAGUCAUGUAUUUAAUUUUUUAUAUUUAAAAUAAAAAUAGGAUUUUAUUAGUUUUAUUUUUUAUUACAUAUUUUAGCUAUUUUUUUUUAUAAUUUUUCUGAAUUUUUUAGAAAAAUAAAAAAUAAAAUUACAAUGUGAACAAAAUUAUAAAACUAAUAAUGGUAGAGCAGCGGAGGGCACAGGUGAAGGGCAUGGCGGCGGUGUACUUAUUUUAGUCAAGUAAUUAUUAUUGCACGAAAAAAUAAUUAUUAAUAUAAAGAAAGAUAAUGUUUCAAAGACAUUAUCUUUCUUCAUGUCUAUUAAUUUUUCAUCACAAUAAUAAUUACUUCGAAUUAUCCGUGUUUUCAAUCGUGCGACCUGCACCCAGCCCGACCCGACCCGUUUCACCCAUAUAGUCAGUCUCACCCAAGUUUUUGCCUAAAGAUAAGUAUUAAUUAGUUGUGUAUGGUGAUAUGAGUCUUGUUUGUAUAAAUUAGUAGGCCUUUAAUAAUGAAUUGGCCCAUCUCAGGUGGUUUAUAUAAUUUACUCGUAUGGAUCUAAAUACAACUAAUCAUGAAAUAUUUAAUAUACCACGGAGCAUCUUUCUGAUAUACUAUUUAUAUAGUAAUUUAUUCCUAAUGGAUCUAAUCUCUGACUAUUUAAUAAUUAACUCGCCAUCGUUUAAAUAAUUUACUCCUUAUGGAUACACUCAAAGUAAUCGUGCAAUAUUUAAUAUACCACGCAGCAUCAUUUCUCAUACAAUAUUUUGGACCAUCUAACCAAUUACAUAUAAUUAAACCUUUUGCCAGGGUGGCUGUCCCUUCCACUAUAUGGUUGCAUGUAUUGAAUUGAAAUUUUAUUGAGGAAAAAAUGAAAAGAAAAACUAGGAAUUCAUUGAUAGCACGAAGACGCUAAUUAAGGGCUGAGCCUCAUCAAAACCUUUCCGAUAAAAAUCCAGUGAAAAAAACCACCAGCAAAGGAAAAAGAGUACCAGUCUAUUACAAUAAAAAAAUGAAGAACAAACUCAAGACAGGAACAACGAGAAGCACGAGAGGAUGAUAAAACAUCUAACCCGAAAAAAAAGACCCAAACCAAAGGAGCCUGACAAAUCCGGAGCCAGUACCAGCGCACCAGGAAACUGAAAAAGUUCUGGAGAAGCCACUUCGACCCAAGCACGCCAACCAUCCAAAAGAAACGACUACCACACCCACACCUAGGCCAAGAAAUAUAUAAUAUUGUGAAUAGUUCCCAUGGGAUCGAAACAGACCACCAAAACAAGAAAAAACCUCUAAGAGCAGACUACUCAUUGCCUGCCUGCCUAGUAUUCGAUGAAAUACCCAAACCAGAAAUCAUAGCAUAAAGCAAAAACCGCCACAGCUGGGGAGCGAAGAGCAGAAGGCCACCAAUAAGAUACAUUAGGAUUGCGCAAAGUCUGACAAAGAAAUCAGAAAACUUACCAGACCACUCUAGUUAAUGUAAUCUAUACAUGUCCGCACAUGAAAUUUGGUCAAGUUAGAUACACUAAUCUCAAAUCUAUUUAAUUAACAAAUUGAUUGAUUGAUAUUUUUUUCUGAGAGAAAUUGAUUGAAUAAUUUUUAGACUUCAAAAACUAAUAGUUAAUUGAUUGUUUAGAUAAGAUUAUUAUUACACUUUUAUAUAGAGAUAAUUAGUACUUGAGAUAUGUGCAAUUUACGCAUUCUUCUCUCGAGACAAAAUAAAUAUUAUUGACCAUUGAGAACUCUGCUACCACUACUCCAGUUCUAUUUAUUAUCAGUGUGCCCUCUCGCGCGCUGCACGGGUCACAACAUAUUUGAUUAUUUAAUUUUAGCUGUUUACGCAUACUUCGCUCGAGACAAAAAUAAAAUAAGAUUUAUUGAUCAUUGAGAACUCAGUACCACACCAUACUCGUGUAUACUAUAAUAUUUAUCAUUGUUUAUGAUUAUUACGUGUCUUCGCCGAUAAAUUUAAUAUUCAUUCCUUUAAUUUUUUUCUAUUGACAUUGGAAACUGUCUUGAUUCUUUUUUGGCCAUAUCAUAUAUUUAAAAAAUUGGGAGGGGAACGUGGAAGUUGAAUCUGAAAUAAGAAUCAAAUGAUACAUGUGUACUUUCAAAGAUAAAACGCAAAAUAUAUCAUUUUUUUGUAAAACAUAUAAAUUCUACUAUUUAUGAUUAUUUUAAAUUUAUAUAAUCUAUAUUUGUAUGUAUAUAUAUUCUCCAUUUGUUCAUGAAAAAGAGUCUCAUUGUAUGCUGAAUACGAGUUUUAAUAAAAUGGUUGUAAGUGUGAAAUAAAUGUAUAAUUUGUAAGAGUCUUUACAUUAGAUUAUAUUUUACUCUCUUCGUCCUAUUGAUAAUGACUCACUUUUCUUUUUCGUCUGUCUCAUUGAUAAUUGCAUGUUCCAAAAAAACUGAAACCAUUUGACCUCACAAAAUGUUGUGGGCUCCACUACUUUUUAUCACUUUUAUCCUUUAAUUACUAUUCUUAUUAAUAACCGUGUCGAACAGUAAUGAACUAUUAUCAAUGGGAGGGAGGGAGUAAUAUUUUAAUUUUGUUUGCUGCCACCACCACCACCACCACCACAAUUUAAAAAAAAAAAUCUACGUGAAUAUAGUAAUUAUUAGAACAAAAAAAUAACUAUAAUAAUAAUAUAUUAAUCCGUUAAUUAUCUAUACUAAUAUAAAAAGUGCAUUUGGCACAAAAUAUAUAUUGCCUGUUAUAUCCCUAUUAUAGUAUUUUAUUUGAAGGACAACUUUGUAAAUUAUAUAUUAUAUAUUUAUAAGAAUAUAUUAUUUCAUUAGAUAUUACACUAAAUAUAUUUGAUAUAUAUCUAGAUCUUAUGCUAUAAUUUUUUUUAUAUUAAUUAAUUAUUAUAUAUUGUGAUUUAAUAGAAUUAUACAACUCUAAUAAUUUAUAAAUGUAAAGUUCAGGGAUUGCAUGCAAUGCACACAUUCUAUGCUAGAAAAAAAAUAGAAUUCACUAAGCCGAUGAUAAAUAACACAUACAACGUACUAUUUCUGCUAGUAAAUUAAAAAUCUAUAUGAUUUUAUCUUCUAUCACUACAUUAAUUAAAAUCUAUCUUCCGUUUCAUAUUAACGGUGGUUUUUCAAUAUUUUUUAUAUUAAUUACUACAUAUUGUGAAUUUAUUACAAUUGUUAACCUCUAACAAUUCAUUAAUAUAAAGUUGAUGGAUUGUGUGUCAUGCACAAACUCUCCUGUACUCAUCUAAAAGACUCUAUAUGUGAGAAGAAACCGCAGGAGAGUAAAAUGGUACAUAACAUAGAAUAGAAAGACUUUCACAAAAUAAAUGUUACAUUCUUCCCGUAGUCGGAAGGAGCAUGAAAAUGCGCGGUUAUUCGCAAGAAAGAAAGGCUCACUCAGCCACACAAAACAUGGAAAUCCUAAACACGGUGAUGCAGAGAUCAAGCGGUAACACGCGGGAUGAUCUUAAUACCACCGAUGGUAACAUCGUCGCCAUUAAUGUGGGGAACGAUAGUGACGACAAUGAAAUCAUCAUCAGCAAUAUUAAUGUUCUCAUAGAGUUCCUUCAGGUUCAAGUGAAGGUCGUUGGAGCUUUCCGUGGCCCUAACCCUGUGCGGAAUCUGCGUGAAGCACCCGGCGUACUCGGCCCUAUCGAGCUUCUGUGGCGUGUCGUCUGCAUCAUUCACGAACACAUCGAACCUCACGAGCUUCAAGCUAUCGCAGAUUAUGUCCUCCAGCACCAGCACUUCGUCGGCUUUGCCUUUGGUUGGUUUGGGCACCACAACCCUAUGAGGCUUAUUGAGAGUGAGAGGGAACACAUUGUCUCCGGUCUCCGCCGUCUUGGCGAGAUCUUCGGUAUUGACCGGUUCCGGCCGCUGAGGUGGCCGGCAGGUCAUCCAUGGUGUAUGGCUAUAUUCAUACUCGUAUCCCAUUUUUGUGUGGUCCAAGCAGUCGGCGACCUUAACGCGCACCAGCUUCCUCUUCUCGUUGUAGAACAUGAAGGAGGCGUUGUUGAAGUCGUCGGGGUUGGGGACGACGAGCUCGUUGAUAUCCUUCGGGAAAACGGAUGGGAUCGUUUUCCAUAUAGUCCACAUUCUGUCGACGUUAGCGUGAUGUGCGUAGAAGAGAGGGUCUCUUCCGGCGGAGUAGAAGUUCCCCAUGUCUUCGCGGAAAUUGUUGGCGGGGUUUCCGGUCCAGACAGCCGCCCUCCGACAAUCCUCCCUUGGAGCGUGGCGGGGGCAAGUCUCCGUCAACGUAAGGCUCGCCCAUGAAGUUGGUAGCGGAUUCGACAUCACCAACCAUUUCCUUGUACAGCUGAUUGAGGUUGUUGGAGAUGAUCUGUACGGGAUCGGUGAUCGGGGGGUUGGUUAGGGCAAGAGAAACGAUGGCCGGGGGCCGAUGCGUCGGGUCGCGGUUGACGUCGUAGAGUGGCGACGCGUCCCUGUCGAACAUCGAGGGCAUCUGCAUGCCCCUAGGGUUGUCCCAGUUCCAGUAGGGCAGGGCGAAAUCGAGAUCUCCGAUGAAUUCGCCCAUGAUUCUCUCGAAGAAAUAGAGGUACCACCUGUGUAGGGAUGAAUCCAGAAUUUGUCGUUAGGGGGGCUAAAUCUAAAAGUAUUUGCAGUGGGGGCUCCCGUCCGCAAGACAAUUUUUUUUAACCAUUCCGUAUAGAUUUAAUUGGCUUAACAUUAGAAAUCAGUCACUUACUAUAAAAAAUAGUUGUUCGCAUUCCAUUAAUUCAACAACAAGUACAUUUAAAGCAUAUACAAACCUACCUCUGUGCAAUUUUUUAAAAUAUUAUUUCGACUUCUAAAAGAAUAAACUAAUUUUCAUUGUUAAUUAAUAGUUCAAAAUUUUAGUUUAUCUUGAAGAUUAACUCAAAUUAAAUAUUCAAUAUUACCUAAUUAAACAAAAAUGAGACAAAAAUAACACAAAUUUUUAACAAACUAACCUAGCAAAUCACUGUAAAAUGUUAAGCAAUUCUUUCUUGUAUUUCUUCUAUAUAUUAAAAACAAAAAAAUUAGGGAGGGGGCUUCAGCCCCCGUGGAUCCGCCACUAACCUGUGGAAGGGGAAGAAGAUCCAUGAGUUGUGAACCUGGAUAUCGAUGCCGGGGUGGUCCACCUGGUCGUAGGGGCCGUUGCAGUAAGCGCAGUGGACGUUGGCCUGCUGAGUGAAGCCGCGGGGAUCGUUGGGGUCCGUCACGUCCAGAUCCUUCAUCAUCUGGAUGGCUUUCUCGUACUUGGCUAUGUAUUCCGGUGUCAGCCUGUGCGCCGCCGGCCUCCUGCGAAGCUUUGUGAACGUCGGAAGCGUGUACUCUUCCUCGUCGUCCGUGUAGGGCGGGCAGCAGUUGGCGUCUAGAGAUAUUAUCUCCCCGUUUCUAGAAGUAUAGGCACCUUUGGGAUCACACUUGCUCAGGUCAGGAGGUGAAAUCGGAACCGCCUCAGCUUUGCGGAUGAGGCCGCUUGCGCCGUAUAGACCACCCAGACCAAGCAGCAUGUUUCUGCGGUCUACACGGCCGCCGCCGCCUCCAUCACUGCUGCACGACACCUCAAAGCGGCGCCUCCGCCUGCUGGCGAGCUGGGAGGUGGUGCGGAGGUUGGGGUUGGUCGUGGUCGCCAUCACCAUGAAUGAAGAUUGAAGGGAAGCCAUGCUUGAUUGAUUGAUGCUUGCAUUGCGCUCGAGGCAUGCAUGUCUAUAUAUAGUAGGCGUGGACACGAGUUUUAAGAAAAAUAAUGAUACUUAAUGGGAUUAUUUUCGAAAAUGAAUUAGGAAGAUGUUUUGGAGACGAAAAUAGAAAAUUGACCUUUUGCCAGGCUGCCCUUUCACUAAAUGGUUGUAUGCACUUAUCUUUUUUUUAUCUAUAAAGAGGUAUUUUCUCCAUUUAAAAAACUUAUCGAGGUAAUUAUGAAGACUAUUCAUUUUUAUCGUUGUAAAGUUAAUUAAAUUAUAAAAAUUAAAGUUGAUAAAGUUCUUAUUAAACAUCAUCGCUCUUCUGUCUUUGGACGACAAAAUUAAUUAUUUCAAAUAGAUAAAGAACUUGAUUUUCCGAUAUGGCUUCUCAUACUAAUUAAAUAAUCUAAUCCUAUAAUGUAUUUCAUAUAAAGUUAUCAAAUUAACAAUAUUCUGUGUGAAUUUUUUUGCCUUGAGUGUGUGUAUAGAGGUAGUCAGGGCCGGCCCUGAGGGUGGGCGGGCAUGGGCGACGGCCCAGGGCCCCAAAAAUUUGAGGGCCCAAAAUUUUUAAUAUAUCCUAUUAAUUAUAGAUCUUAUGUAUACUAACAACAUAGUUCAUCUAUUGAUUUUGGGCCCAACAUAAUUUAUUCUCAAAUUUAGAUCUAUACUUAAUAUAGAGAGUUUUCAAUUUGAAAUCAAUUUCAAAGUAAUUUCAAAAUUGAGUGACUAUUUUGUAGUUAUAAUAUUAAUAAAAUUGAAGGUUUAUGUUUAAACUAUAUAUUUUUAUUUUUAUUUUUAUUUUCAUUUUCAUUUUCUUUAACUUCUUAUUUGUUGUUACAUUUCUUUCCAAAAUUGUGAAAUUCAAUUAAUUAUAAAAUAUUUAAUAUGCAUAUCAAAUUAAAGAUCACAAUAAGAGUUUUAAUAUGAUAUAUUUUAUGAAAAAUAUUUGAUUUAAAAUGUAAAAUUUAUGCAUGUUCAAAUAUUAAAGUUUUAUAAAUUUCUCUCACCUCUCUCAUCUUUACGAAUAAAUAUAUUUUUAAUUCUUUUAAAUUAGUAUUUUAUUUUUAAUUUUUUUAACUUAUUUUUUUGUUUUUGUAUUUCAUAAUAUCAAAUUUUAUAAUUGUGAAUUCUUUUUUUAUUUUUUUUAAUAUUCAAUUCAAAUAUAUAUAAUUAAAAUUAAUUUUUUAUUAUAUUUAUAAGUAUAAUAAUUAAAUUAGUAUUAAUUUUAUAUAAAUAGUAAAAACAAAAAAUAUUUCCCGUGCAUGAGAUGCAAAUGGUAGUUGCACCUCGCCGCCGGUAAUAUAUUUAAGUAUAUAAAUUAAUUAAUAUUAACAAGGCGCCCGGUGAUCACCGGAGGCAUCCUUGCCGCUGGUAUUUCUGCCGCUACUUUGAAAAAUACGGCCGUCGGUAAAUCUGGCCGCAAAUUGUGUACGUUUUUUGGUAGUGGUAAUAUAUUAGGGCCCAAUUUUUUAAUUUCGCCCAGGGCCUCAGUUUUGUCAGGACCGGCCCUGGAGGUAGUUAUAGAAUUUAUCUUUUGUGUUCUCAAAGGAACUUAAUUAAGAUCCAAUGUGAUUGAUACAUUUCGACUAAAUGGAUGGGCAAGAUUCUUUUAACGCCCAAUAUUAAUUCCAUCUCAAAUCGGAUCUUAUAUAAUACUGUAUUUUAUAUAUUCUAUAAUGCAUUUUAUAUAUUACGUGUCUAUUAAAUUAACAUUGAUCUUAGGAGUGAUACAAGUUUAAAAAAAAGCUAGCUGUAUAUUUGGUGAGUAGAGAAGGGAUUUCAGAAAUUAGAAAAAAUGGUGAUAGGUAGUGGAAUUAUUUUAAAAAAUGGACUAAAAAGAUGUUUCAUGAACGAACGAAAAUGGCAAAAUAGGAAGAUGAGUCGUGGUCGGAGGAAAUAUUAUAAUGCAUCGUAUCCUUUUUUGGUUCGUAUAAAGAUUUUUAUUUGAUCCUCAUCGAGAACAUGCAUAUUGCGAAUACUUAAUUUAUUUCAAUAUAUAUAUAUUAAUUUAUUGGGAGCAUAUGCUAAAUAAAUUAAAUUAAUCCGAAUCAAAAGCGCUUAAUUAUCACUACAUUACAUGCAUUAUGACAAAAAGCCUGCGGCUAAAGAUCUUCAGUUUAAGUCUAUUGUCAUAUUGUUUUUAAAAUAUUAUUUAUCCAUUCCGCAUAUGGAUUGGUCAGAUUUAGAUACACAAAUCUCAAAUGUAUUUAAUUAACAAAUUGAUUGAUAAAUUUUAGAAUUCAAAAAUUAAAUCAAUCAAAUACGCGUGUCCACAGUCAAUGGAUUGAAAAUAUGCAGGUAUCUAGAUAAGAUAUAUUAUUAUUAUUAUUACACUGUUAACUAUACUGCAGUACACUUUUAUAUAUACAGACAUAAUUAAAAUAUGCAGGUAUCUAGAUAAUAAGAUUAUUAUUACACUAUUAACUAUACUGCAGUACACUUUUAUAUAGAGAUAAUUACUAGAGAUAUGUGCUAUUACCCAUACUUCGCUCGAGACAGAAAUAAAUACGAUUGACCAUUCAAUUAAACACUACGACACCAUACUCGUGCAUGUACUAACGAUCUUAUUAUAAGUGCACCUUCCCGUGCGAUGCACAGGUCAGUAGAAUUGUAAUCGAUAUUGAUGUGAAUAUCAUCAUAUUCGAUUCGUAUUUGUGAAAAUACUCUAAUAUUUGAUUCAGCAUUCGAUUCGAUCACGAAUACUAAAUACGAUCCCAUAUUCGAUUCGAUGUUAUUUUUGAAUUAUUUGAUACAUUUUUUAAAAUUAAUUAAAUAAUUUUUUUACGAAUAUUCGAUUCGUUUUCCAUCAUAUUCAAUUCAAAACUAUUCGAUUUGAAAUUCUGAAGGAAAAAAUAUGUUAAAUAAUAUUCUAAAAAAUAUAGGAUUAUAUCCAAUAUAUUUACCUAAUAAUUAAACACACAAUAAUAAAGUGUUCAAUUCAUAUUGUUUUAUGUCCCGUGGUUUGUUUCUAGGAUUGUGGUAAUAAAGACUGAUUGGAUCAGUCUAGUACAGUUGUUGUUUGAAUUUGUAAUUUUGUGUAACGGCAUUGUCAUCUUGUUGAGAUUAAUAGGAGUUAAUUUGUUUAAUUAAUUAUUCAUGAGUUUCUUAUAAGAUACCUUCCUUCGUUCCGUAAAAAUAGUCAUAAUUUUUCAUUUUAGAACGUCCAUAAAAAAAUAGUGUUAUUCCAUUUAUAAACAAUUUAGAUCCUUACCUUUGGGAUGAGAUAAAAUGAAAUUCCAUUUUAAAUCAUAAACUAGCUAUAUAGGAAGCAUUUUCAGCUCUUGAAUUCAUCUGUUGUUCGAAUUUCAUAGGAAGCAAGUUUUUUUGACUCAUUAUUUUCACAGCGAAUUCAUCAUGUUACACAUACCCUAAAGUGAUAUAUUUACCCUAUUUGAUAACAUGAUAAGUAUAUUUGAAGCGCUCACUAUUUUAUUUGAACUUUAUUAUCGAGUUUAAACGAGUUUUGAAAUAUUGAAUUAAAUUGAAAUAUCCAUGUUGAUCGUUUAAGAAGCAAAUUUUUGGCAUGGGUUUAUAAAAAAUACAUCCUAGCCUCCAUCCCUAAUAAGUGCGGUGUGAAGGAGUGGGCAAUAGUUCUUUAAAAAUAAUUGAGAGAUGUGUAUAAAGUGGAUAAAAUGGCUUACUAGAGCUGAUUUGUUAGGCCUUACUUUCUCUCUGCCCCACUAAAAUAAGCUCAAUUCUUUUGAGAACAUAGAUUAAUAAACUUUCUUUUGAGAAGAAAAUUAAAGUGGUGGCAAAAGUAAUGUGGUCCAUACCAAUUAAGCAAUUUGAGUACAUUUUUUUUUUCACUCAAAAGGAAAACGAGCCUAUUCUAGCGGGACAUUCCAAAAUAGAAAACGAGCAUAUUCUGCUGGGACGAGGGAAUAAUAAAUUGUUUGUGAGAUGAGUAGUUUGUAAAUAUUGUGUGUGAAAGGUGUAUGUCUUAAAUUGAAAAGACCAUACCUGUAUUGUGAUUGUACGGAAAGGUGGAACUGAGCAUCGCGGCGGCGGCGAGGCAGGAGGCGGCGGUGGUGAGGAGAAUCGAGAGAGAGAGAGAAAGAUGCCAGCAGACAGUGACGGAGGGCAGUGGGCGGCCCUUGGCGGCAGCGGAGACGACAAGGUACUGGCUGUGCCAGAAUUAUUUAGUUGCAUAGGAUCCUUCCAAAUGUAAUUACUGAUUCACUGUUGGAUUAACAAGAAUUAAAUUACUUCAUAAUACAGUAUUCCAACUGUUCGAUAAAAGCCCUUAAUGAAAUCUUCCAUAGAUUACUUUGCAAAGUUCAUAAAAUUACUCAAAAGCAUUGUUGCAUAGUCCGUACAUAGAGAUGGUCGAUUAUCUUAAUUAUGUCUAGAUUUAUUUACGACACACACACACACACAUCACAAAAUCACACAUACUGACUAAUAAGGUUCCCGAAAGCCGGCAUUAUUAGGCGCCAUGGUGGCCGUGAAAUACCAUGAGACGAUAUCAUGGGUGGUGGGUCCGUCUAGUCUGGUGGCGGCGGAGAGCCCUACCUGAACCUGCUAAGGAAGAAAGCCGCUCAAAUCAUACUCAUAGCUGACUUCAAACGUCUUCGAGCCGGCGGUGGCACGGACGGCGAUCUACUUUGUGGAGGCGGCGUAGUUGAUCCUCGCCGUCACCUGCUGCUCGAGUAUGGAGCCGUCGACCUCCGUCGUGUUUCGGGAUGACCUAGACCCGAUGUCGAUGCCGAUGUGGGGAUAGUUCGGAUCCCACGCGCUGUUGACGUAGGUGUCGAACUCGACGGCAAAUACCGAGGGGUUGCUGCCGGAGGAGCCGAAGAUUCCGAGGUUGGCCCCGCUGGAGCCGGUGGGGAUGGUGGAGCGGCGAGAUUGGUGAUGCUGGGUGUGGUGAUGAAGUUUACGGUGGUUUCAAAGUCGACUUGGCCACCGGCUUGGGAGAAUUGGACCGGGUUCGUGUACAAGACCCGGCCGACACUACCGAUCUGCGGUCGCCUUGGUAGGUGAGGUCGGUCGGCUGGUUGUCCCAGAAGUUAUAGGCGAAGGCCGUUGAUCGGGACUUCGCCCUGUUGGUGGCGACGGCGAGAAGAAGGGCGAUGGAGAUUAGGGUUUGGAGAAGGUUGGCCAUGGCUUAGUUGUGCAGUGAAUGAUGUCUACUACUUGCUCCUAUUUAUAAUGAUCGAAAAUAUCUACUACUUACCUACCACAGAUCCACAUCAGGGGCCCUGGAUGGGGUGGUCGACUACAUAAGCCCAAAAAAAUAAGGGCUCGGAAAAUAUAUAGAUCCAUGUAAGUAUUAUAUAUAUGUAUAAAAUAAUUAAAAGCCAACUAAUGAUUGAAUUGAUUAACUUGGCGCAGUGGAAAAAGGACAUUUUUAAUUCCUCUUAAUUACCAAUAUUUUAUUUAGUGACCAAUUUUUUUGUUUAGAUAUAGGGCCCAGCCCCUAUUUUGAUAAAUUAAGUGUAUGUAUUUCAAAUUAACAUUAUUUUAAGUUGUCGAAUUUUUUUGUUAAGAUUUAGGGUCCAGCCCCUAUUUUGUUAAAUUAACUUUAUUUUAAGUGAAUGACAUAAUUAUUAAUAUAUUUAUUAAUUAUUAUGUAAUUUGAUAAAAAAAUGUUUUAAAUAAUUUUAGUUUAUAAUUAAUUUAUUUCUCAAUUAUAAAUAAAUGGCCUAAAUUAAAAAAUUCGCAAAGGGCCUAUGUUCUCUUAGCCCUACCCUUGCACUGUUGCACAUGGUAUAUAUAUCUAUUCUAUGAAUAUAAGUGAUUAUUUUAUAAACCACGUGAAAGCACUUGUUCCCACUAGCACUAUAAAAGCAAUAAAUACAACGGAAAGAAAAUAAAUUACAAUUGAAUACAUUAGGAGAAAAAUUACUUCUAACCUAUGGAAUUACUAACAACGAUACUUAUACCAAAGCUAAAUUGGACCAACUAACUGUACACUCUUGUAUUAUAUCAACCUACCAGACCUUAGUAUUCACGAGUCUCCCACAGUCUAGACUGAUUCACAAUAUAUACCAACAUUGGAACAAGUUCAGUAAUACACUCUAUUUAUAUAUAUUAUUAUAUACACAAAAAUGCAUGGCUGCUGUGGUAUUACGGAAGGAUCGAGAAUUACUCGAUCCUUGGGAAAAGGUUCAAAUGAAACCUUUAUUAUUACUCUCCGUCCCCCAAAUAAUAUCAUAUCCGAUUUGGGAUAUUACCCCACCACUAAUAAUACUUUAUUUAUUCUAACUUCUCAAUCUUUCACCAUUCUCAAUACUAAUUAUAACACAUUUUCAUCACUUUCAAUACUAAUUAUAAUUUCUUUUCUCCACUGCUAAUACGUACACUUAACAAUUUUUCCUUAAAACCAGUGUCGUCCCCUACUAAGAAGUUAUUUGGGGGACGUAGGGAGUAUUUUUUAAUGAUAUGGCAUCCAAAUAUGUUGUGACAAUCCAGUGAGCAAUAUCAACUUUUUGGAGCUGAAAACCGAUGUGAGGUACAACUAAUACACAAUAUGUUGUGGCAAUCCAGUAAUAUACCCUAAGGAUGCGUCAUCUUUUGUUGUAAAUUUAUCAUGGAAAAAUGAGGGAUAAACAAAAUUUCACCCAUUAAAUCCUUCAUUUUUUCCCUCAUUUCUUACAAAAUAGAAUUUGACCCUUACUCAUUUCUCAUUUUCACUGCAAAGGGGGGCUAAUAUUAUCUCUCUAUUUUUGGUAUAAUGAAGAAUUUGAUACGUAAUUACAAUUAAUUAUAAUGAAGUGUGUAUUUUAGUUGCUCAUAUUCUUGGAUUAUUUAUGCUUUAAUGAAACGAUCCACUGCCUUUAACAUUUUGGCAUUUUAAAGUAAACGCCGAAAUGCAACGAUCCACUGCCUUUUAAGUAAACACCCUUGCUAACCCCUGCAUGCGUUUUUUCAUCAAACACUUGGGUUCAUUCUUUUAGGCAUUUUAUCAAACAGUUGUGCUCAGCCUCAUCCUUUUGAUCACAUUCCCAUAUCUCUCCUUAUAUGAAACCGCAUUUUCUAUUUCUCAUAUAUUUCCUAUAUAAUAUUUCCAUCAUUUCUAGCUCAACAAUAAUUCUUCUAGCAAAAUUAUCAUUUCAAAUGCACUCUUUUCCUUUUCUACUUUCUCUUCUGCAUAACAGAAAUACUAAUCCACCAUAAAAUAAUCAUAACUUUUUCUUAAUGAUACGAUGAGGGCACAAAGUUGAGAUGAUAAAAUCAUACAUAUUGGCGAAUGUUGCCGCCGGCUUCCUCUGACUUUUGGAUGCUGAGGGGAGGGGUGGCGGUGAAAUACCAGGAGUUGAUGAUGAAUUUGAUGGUUGUUUCCAUGUCCACCUGCCGCAGAGACCGAGAUACGAUUUUAGAAACAAACGGCAAAAUUACAAUUUCACAUAUAAAAAAUAAAAGACAAUUAAUAAAGCGCAUAAUAUUGGUAAGAUGCUUCCAACCAAUAGGUCGGGAUUGUAUAUCGUGUGAGUGUGUUUUUCAUUUUUUAGUAAUAACAUGUCGUGCUCGGGGCUUUUUUCCGUAUCUGCCCCUGCUUCCCGUCGUCGUGCCCGACUCGUCGGUUUUUGUCAUGCGGAGGUAGGUGGUGGCGUCGGUGAAGUUGGCGUCGCCUUCCAAGCGUAGGCCUUCCGAAUGUGGCGGCUUUUGGUAGAAGUCGUAGGUGAAGGAGACUGCAUCGCCGACCGACACGGUGGCGAGGAGGAGGGCGAUGGAGGAGAGGAGAGGAAUUAAGGUUUGGAGAAGGUUGGCCAAUUUGAUUAAAUGUAUUUGGAUGUAGUGGAUGAUGGUGUAUCGAUCUCUUGCUCCUAUUUAUAGUUGUAAAUAUAUAUUAAUAAUGGUAUCAUUCAAUCAUUAUACUUUAGGCCGGCCGGGCCGGAUCCUCUAUUCCAAAUUCUAUGUCUCAUUGUUCAUAUUCACUAUUAAUUUCACUAUUUCAAUAAUUAAAAAAAUUCAUAGAGUUUGGGGCAGAGGAUCCCGUUUGAAUCCCACAUGGAUCCUCUGUCCCAUAACUUAUUGUGUUCCUUCCCAUUAUUAAUCUCGAUAUUAUAUUUCUACUUUGGAGUUAAUUCAUUAUAAACCCAUGAAAGAUCAGACGAAAUUCAUCCAAUAAACAUUUAUAAAUUUAUAUUUAAAUUUUGUUUCGCGGGUAUCUGAUAGAUAAUAGGUAUUCGUGGGUGGCGAAUUUGGGUAGCAUUUGAUAUUCAUAGAUAGUUUCAUGAUUAAAAUCCAAUAUUCAUUUAGUUCACGGGUAUGGUAUGACAGCCACUAUCUGUGUACGUCAUACCUGAUUGCCAGUAUGACAAAUAUAAAAGUUGUGAGAUGCACAGCAGCUUAAUUAUUCAAAUAGAAAUAUCAUCACAUGUGCAUUGAUAUUUCACAAAAUAAAUACUACUACUAAUAAAUACUCCCUCCGUCCACCAAAGAUAUGCCACUUUACUUUCGGUACGAGUUUUAAUAAAAUGUGAGUGAAGUUGGUAGUGGAGUAAGGGUCCCACUUUAAAUGUGAGUGGAAUGGUAUGGACCUUACUACUAAAAAUGGAUGUGGCAUAUUUUUCGUGGACGAACGAGAAAGAAAAUUGUGGCAUAUCUUUGGUGGACGGAGGGAGUAGUACUCAUUGAUAAUGCAUGCCAACACAUGGUUCUUGCAAGUCAUAUAUAUACCUCAUCAGCAAUAUAGUAAAAUGAUGAUUUGACAACCAGAUUAAGACACCAAUUAUUCUUGUCGGGACACAGACAUAUAUGCAUAUAGAAUUAAUAUUAUUUACUAUUUCGUUUAUACACGUGAAUUAUGCUUUGGAUGCAACAUCGCCACGUCUCUUUCAUUUAUACUUCUCUAGUGUAUUGCGGACAAAAUAGUUAGUGUCUUUAAGAAAUUAAAAAUUUUCAAAUACAUAAGAAAGAAUAAUUAAUCUAAUUGGUGCGCCGGCAACUAAAACUUUUUUCAAUUCACUUUAUAUUUUAUAUACUCCCUCCGUCCACGAUUUAAUGCCCCAUUUUAGUGUGGGCACGGAGACUAAGAAAACUGAAAAAGGUGAUGUGAAUGAAAUAUAAGGGUAGUUGACUAAAGUGAUAAAGAUGCUGUGAGUGGGUUCACUAGUGAUAAAGUAUAGGAAAUAUAGAAUAUAAAAAUGAUAAAGGUGUUUUAAGUUGGGUCCAUUAGUGGCAAAGAGUAAUAAAUAUAGAAAAAGAAGAGUAAAAAAGUACAAAAAGCAUAAUAGGGCUUUAAUUUGUGGACAAAAAAUUAAGAGCAAGUAGGGCUUUAAAUUGUGGACGGAGGGAGUAUUUAACAUUACAAGUCAAUUGCUUGCAGAAUUUGAGCUUGUCUCCCGUGAUGGAGACCUCACCAUGCGGCAACCCGUGCCUGCGCCUGCCUUUUUUCUUCCCGUCUUGCUCUAUCCAGAUAUUAUACGUGAUCCAACUCUUUCCAGAUAUUAUACGUAAAUGAUAAUUUUACUAACAAAAAUUACACUUUUUAUCAAUAACAAAUGAAACUAUGCAUACAAAACAGGAGGUAAAUGAUAUUUUUCUUAAUAACAACUGAUACUUUUUCAAUGCAAAUAAUACUUCGCAAAUGAUAUUUUAAUAUAAAAGUAAAUGAUACUUUGUAUAAAAAUAAAUGUUAUAUUACAAAUGACACUUUUAAUGCAUACCAAUGACACUUUUAAUAACAAAAAUUGAGAAAAAAAAAUUAGAAUUCGGCCUUAAUUAAAAUUUGGACAACAUUUAUUUGGGCAAAGAAGAAAAACACCUGAAUUUUUUUUUUUCCUUUUUUGAGAGAGAAAAACUCAUGAAAUUUCAUGCAAAAGGUAAUGCAUAGCCAACCGGGCUCAAUCAUCUUUCGGCGGUUUUGGUUUGAUUCUUCCAACAUCUAGGGUAGCAUUCACACAAAAUCAACUCGUGUUCAAAAAUCUGAAAUUAAAAUUAACGAUGUGUCUCAGUAUAGAGAUAAGAACAUACCCCUCAAAUGGUUCGAGCCAAGGUCUAAUUCCUUCAGCAGUGUGAUAUUCCAAAUUUGAGUAGGCAUAUAUCCGCCAAAGUUGUUGUCUGACAAGCGAAUACUCUCAAGUUGUGGACAUUGGUACAAACUCGAUGGUAUAUCUCCUUCCAAAUUGUUAAAGGAUAGGUUCACUAGUUUAAGUCUUUGAAGGUUAUUGUACGUGCNUAGACAACAAGAAAUAUCUAUUGUCUAUUCUAUGACAAAAAAAUUAAAAAAUUCUAAUAUAUCUGCAUCCCUGUAUUACAAUACCAAUAUAUAUGAAAAAAUAAAAAUAAUUAAAAAUCAAAUAAUCAAACAAUACUUAUAAACCACUAAUACUCACAAUCAAAUAUUUACACAUCAGUGUAAAUAUUGGGUUCGAGUCCUCUGCGUGUGUUGAUCAAGCGGUAAGGGGUUAAUGCCUAAGGUCAAAGGUCUGGGAUUCGAGUCCCCUGUGGUGUAGCCUUUUAAUUUCGUUAUUUAAUAUUGUAAAUUUAUAAAAAAAAAAAAGUAUAUUUACACAUCAACAAUUGUAUUAUCUUUAAUACGCCUUCAUUCAUCUAAUAAAAAAAAUCUCUAAUAAAAUCUCCAACUAACUCCGGUCAUGAUCAUCUCUUGAAGGCGGAGGAAGGUGGAGUCCGUCGGGAAAUGGGUACUGCCUUGAUAGAUGAGAUCUUUCGGCUGGUCGCCCCAGAAGUCGUAGGUGAAGGACGUCGUUUGGGACAACGCCGUGUUGGAAACGGAGAGGAGGAGGACGAUGGAGGAGAGGAGAGGAGUUAAGGUUUGAAGAAGCUGGUUGGCCAUGGCUUAAUUGAUUUAGAUUUAGAGAUGUGGUGGAUGAUGGUGGUAUCGAUCUCUUGCACCUAUUUAUACUAGUAUGGUUCAUGCCUGUUAAUAAUUGUAUAUAUCAAUCAUCGUGCAUCUAUCCCAAAUUAUAUGUCUUAUUAUUCACUAAUUAGAUGGAUUAAAUCCUGAUUAGUAACCAUAAAAUUAAACUGUCAAUGAGGCCUUGCUCUAGUGGCAAAGCUGUGACACCGAAUAACUUUUCUUUGUGAAAUGUCUUGGGUUCAAUCUCGCCUGCAUGCGGUGAUGUGUGUCCAUUUUAGGUGGUGUGGUAUUCUUGUCUGCGUGCGGUGUUGUAUUGUUUAGUGUUGAGGUCCCACAUGCAGAGCGUUCUUGCCUGUGUACGUGUCACAGCCCAAAACCAUUUAUUUUCUUUACAAAUUUUAUAUAUGAAAAUUAUUUAAUUUUUAAGUUAUAGAGUUUUUGAAAUAUAUAUAGUAUCAAUUUUAUGUUAACUUAGUCGUGUCCCUAAUUAAAAGAAUGACUUUAAAAUAAAACUUAAGCCUUAAAAAUUUAAUCUACAUUCAUAUAUAACUGAAAUUACAUGCAUGUCUAAAUAUUAUUUAUAAUUAUCAAUAACAAGAUUAAUGAUUCUAUAUCUCUAUGUUUAUACAUGUAUUCACGUAUGACAUAGUAUAUAUUAGCUAUUAAGUUAAAAACUAAUAAAAUACUACACUUUUGCAUAGGAUAUAUAUUUAAUUAGUAGUAGGAUAGGACACGUGUAUUAAUUUUAAGGGCAAGUAAUCAAACUUUUGAAUGAUUCAUCAUGCUUAAAAAAAAAAGAGACCUAGAUAGAUGAUUCAUCAGAUUCAAAAACAAGUAUAAAUAGACUUCGGGUUUGAAAUUUUAAUUAAUUUGCAACAACAAUUCAAACUGACUGUAUUAAGGUAAGUAGUUACAGAUUUCAUACACAUAUUAUAUGAUUUCGCACACAUAUUAAGGUAAGUAUAUAUAAAUAUUUUUUAAAAUCAUAUAUUAUAUAAUAAUUAUAUUUAAGUUUUAUAUUAUUCUUUAUAAACUAUUGUUUCAUUCUAUAUAAUUAGGUGUGGCACGACUAGGACGUAACUUUCUAUUGAAUUUCUCAAGUUAAUCUUAGAGUUCAAGUUUCAGGUGUGAGAUUUAUUUAAAUACAUGUCGUACGUGGUUAUUUAUUGUCCAUUUUAAUAAGAUGUGUUUACCAUAUGUGUUAUGACGCAUAUUUUUAGGAUAUCACUAGGUGCCCAUAAAUAGGAUCCAGGACUUCACCGUCCUUGGAUUGCCACAAUGCGAUUUGAGGUUUAUUUUGAGGAUGUCGUUAGGGGCCCGUACAUAGGGUCCAGGACUUUAAUAGUCAUUGGGUUGCCAUAGUGCAAAUAUUGAGGAUAUAUAUGAAGUGACCGUAUGUGUUACCGUUUCAUUAACGUGGACAAUGAUUGCAUGUUUAAGAGACAAUAACCAAUUUUUCAGACAUUUGUGAACAAAAUGAAGCAUGUUUAGAGAUCCUUAAUACAGGUGUACGAAAUGAUGGAUAAAUAAGUUUGUGAAACAAAUUUCACCAUACCUAACCCCACAAUUAUUUGCGGUCGAAUUUCCUCGUCACAGGAAAAAGAGAUGAUGACAAAAGGGAAAAAAUUAAUUAACAAAGUAGAAGAUGCAUGACAACUGUAAAAGAAAAAUAAUGCUACUAAUUAAAUAGUCCAAACUUCAUACGUUUCAUAUCAUAAGUGGCAGUUCUAUUUUUUUUUUUGCGAAUGUGAACAAAAUAACGAAUAAUUUUUAAAGUAAUAGUAAUAAGGAGAUGUGUUUUGACAGAAAACGACAUGAGCGGCCUAAAAAUAAGAGGGAAAAAGAUAAUCAUAUAAAUAUUCAAAAUCAAACGGAUUGGCAUGUAUUCAUCAUUUUUUAUUUUUUAUUUUGAUAAUUUAACAGUACUCCCUCCGUCCGUCAAAAGUAGACCACUUUGGUUGGGCACGGGAUUUAAUAAAAUUAGUGAUGAUUUUGAUGUAGUAGAGAAAGAGUUCCACCACUUUAUGAGAUGUGUGGUUGAGAUUGAAUUUGUUGUGAUUUUUUUGUAAAUAAAGAGUGUUUGUAAGGAUAAAAGAUUAAAGUGGGUGGUGGGACCAUUUCCAUAAAAGGAAAGUGGUCUACUAUUUGCGGACGCCCAAUAUAGUAAAAGUAGUCUACUUUUGGCGGACGGGGAGAGUAUUAAAUAAAUAAAUUUAAAGGUUGCACCCCUUACUGCUUGGCUUUUAGAUUAUGUUAUAAUAAUAAAAUUAACAGCACGUUUACAAUAUAAAAUUAAUUAUGAUAAAUACAAUAUAUUAAUAAUAAAUACUCAAUUACCUCUUAACAUAAUUCGCGCAUCAUGGCUUUUAGCUUAUAUUAUAAAGAUAUAAUAUGUUGUCUAUAAUAAUCGACGGAAGGUAAUAGACAACAUGUUUUAUAUGUUGUCUAUAAUAAUAUAGACAGUAGAUCUAGUGUUAUAGAUAACAAUUAAUACUUGUUGUCUAUAUGAUGAUAGACACCAAAAAUCUCUGUUGUCUAUUCUAUGACAAAAAAAUUUAAAAAAAUUCUAAUAUAUUUACAUCCCUGUAUUACAAUACCAAUAUAUAUGAAAAAAUAAAAAUAAUUAAAAAUCAAAUAAUCAAACAAUACUUAUAAACCACUAAUACUCACAAUCAAAUAUUUACACAUCAACAACUGUAUUAUCUUUAAUUACGCCUUCAUUUAUCUAUUAAAAAAAAUCUCUAAUAAAAUCUCUAACUAACUCCGGUCAUCAUCUCUUGAAGGCUUAGAAAAUGUCCAAAUACAGCGGCACAUGCUCAUUAUUGUGUGAGCGAUGAGAACUUUGCGCUGAACCUAUAAAGUAACUAUACUUAACUGGUAAAGUAAUUGUAUCCCGUGAAUCUAAAGGAAGACUACACACGUUGAUAGAGUUUGAAAGAAAAGAAUAAAGAGAAUGAAAAUCCAAAGAAUUUGCUUCUUCCGUUGAACAAUCCCUACACAACAUUGAAAUAUCAAUGAAAAUAAUGGCUAUCGUAUACUCCCUCCAUCCAUGAAAGAACUUCAUAGGAGGGAGUGACACGGGUUUUAAGAAAAAAUAUUGUUAAGUGUAUUGAGAGUGGAUAAAAGGUAGUUGAGUGUAUUGGGAGUGGUGAAAAUGUGUUAUAGUUAAUAUUGAGAGUUGUGAAAAGUGAAAAGUAAGAGGAUUAUAAGUGGUGGGGUAUAGUCCAAAAAUAGGUAGGAAGUUCUUUUGUGGACGUCCCAAAAAGGAAAGAUAUGAAGUUCUUUCGUGGACGGAGGGAGUAUUAUUUUGCAGCAGCAACCACGUUUGAAAACUCGAUCCCUCUGUUCUUGAAUUUGUGAAAUUUCCGACUGAUUUAUUAGAUUCACCAUUUAUUUCAGUUUAAUUAGUCUAUAUAUAGAUAUUUCUUAUAUUAUUAAAUUGUUAACCUCAUGGUAGAUUUCAAGAUUUGAAAAUUCAACAAAGAGCUUGAGAAUUAUUGAGAUUGGAAGGGGAAGAUGAAACAUAAUUGGGUGAAAUUAGAAACCAAUUAAAGUCACAAGAUUGAACAAAAACAUAACUUAAAAACACAAAAUAAGCAAAUCGUAGAUGCAGUAUCUUGCAAGAAAAAGUUCAUAUUCCCAAGGCUAUGAUGAGCACGAAUUAGGGUGUGUCUGCAUUUUAUCCCUCUAAAUAGAGGAAUAACAAAAUUUUAUUCUUUAAAUGUUUGCUUUCUUAUCACACAUUCUACACAAACACCAUUUUUUCUUCCUUAUUUUCACUUCAAGGAGGANUAAUAUUAUCCCUCCAAUUUUGGUGUGAUAAUAUUAUCUCUUCUUGAAGUGAAAAUAAGGAAGAAAAAAUGGUAUUUGUGUAGGAUGUGGGAUAAGAAAGCAAACAUUUAAAGGUAUAAAUUUUUGUUAUUCCUCAUUUAGAGGAAUAAAAAGCAAACACACAUUAGAGUCUACUUACAAUUUAGGCGCAGGCUGUGCGAGAAUUACUUAGUCGAAUAGGAUCCUAAGUAUUUAUAUUUCUCAUGUUCUUGUGUAUUUUUUUACUGAUUCACUAUUGGAUUAACAAGAAUUAUCUUACUUUAAAUUUCUUGCUUUAAAAAAAAAAAAGAAUUAUCUUACUUCAUGUAUGGUAUGCCAACUGUUCGAUAAAGGUCCUUUUAGAAAUCUUCUAUUGAUUACCUUGCGAAGACCACAAAACUAGACACACCCAAAAGCAUUCUUGCAUAGUUUAUACAUAGAGAUGGCCGAUUGAUGAUCGUCUUAUUUGUAGACUUAACGCGAGCAGACUCGAUCGCUUAGUCCUUAUUGAUUUACGACACACAUGCUCACACACACACAUACACACAUCACAAAAUCACACAAAUUGACGGAUAAUGUUGCCGUUCAGCUCCUUCCUGAACCUCACCGCGGCAUUUUUCUGCACCAUAGUGGCCGUGAAAUACCACGAGACGAUGUCAUGGACGGCGACGUGUUGUCCGGUGGCGGCGGAUAGCCCGACCUGAACCUGCUGAGGAACAAAGUCGCUCAAAUCGUACUCAUAGUUGACAUCAAAUGUCUGCGAGCCGGCGGUGACUUUCACGGAGAUCAUCCUUGUGGCUCCGACGUAGUUGAUCCGCGCAGUCACCUGCUGCCCGAGUAUGGAGUUGUCGACCUUCGUCGUGUUGCUGGAUGCCCUAGAGCCGAAGUCGAUGCCGAUGUGGGGAUAGAGCGGAUCCCACGCGCCGUUGACGUAGGUGUCGAUUUCGACGGCGAAGACCGAGGGGCUGUUGCCGUUGGAGCCAAAGAUUCCGAGGUUGGCUCCGUUGGAGCCAGGGGGGAUGGUGGAACCGACGGGGGCAAUGAAGAAGGCGAGGCCGUCGGCAGGCUCGUUGUCGGCGCCCGGGGUGAUGAUGAAGUUCACAGUGGUUUCGAAGUCGACCUGCCCACCGGACUGCGAGAAUUGGACCGGGUUCGAGUGCAAGACGCGGCCGACUUGUGAGGGCUGUGCGUCUGUGAGGCGGAGGAAGGUGGAGUCCGUCGGGAAAUGGGCGCUGCCUUGAUAGAUGAGAUCUUUCGGCUGGUCGCCCCAGAAGUCGUAGGUGAAGGACGUCGUUUGGGACAACGCCGUGUUGGAAACGGCGAGGAGGAGGGCGAUGGAGGCGAGGAGAGGAGUUAAGGUUUGAACAAGCUGGUUGGCCAUGGCUUAAUUGAUUUAGAUUUAGAUUUAGAGAUGUGGUGGAUGAUGGUGGCCAGGUAUCGAUCUCUUGCACCUAUUUAUACUAGUAUGGUUCAUGCCUGUUAAUAAUUGUAUAUAUCAAUCAAUCAUCGUGCAUCUAUCCCAAAUUAUAUGUCUUAUUAUUCACUAAUUAGAUGGAAUAAAUCCUAAUUAGCAAUCUUAAAAUUACACCGCCAAUGAGGCCUUGCUCUAGUGGUAAAGCUGUGGCACCGAAUAACUUUUCUUUGUGAAAGGUCUUGGGUUCAAUCUCGCCUGCAUGCGGUGAUGUUUGUCCAUUUUAGAUGGUGUGGUAUUCUUGCCUGCGUGCGGUGUUGUAUUAUUUAGUCUUAGGCGUUCUUGCCUGUGUGCAUAUCACUGUGUGACAAUUAAAAGAAUGACUUUAAAAUAAAAGUUAAGCCUUAAAAAUUUAAUCUACAUUCAUAUAUAACUGAAAUUACAUGCAUGUCUAAUUUUUUUAAUAUCAUAACAAGAUAAGAUUUAUUAAAUAAUUCAGAUGCAUAAAUAAAAAGUUAAUCUAUAAACACAGUAUAGAUAUAUUAUCAAUGAUAGGCCGUGUAUAAGUCUUAAUCUGUAAAACUAUAUCAUCCCAGCCUUAAACGACUACCAUUCCUGCUUUCCCAGAGCAACCACACUGUUCCCACCCACAAAGCUUUAAGCAGUACAUGCAUGUCUAAAUAUUAUUUAUAAUUAUCAAUAACAAGAUUAAUGAUUCUAUAUCUCUAUGUUUAUACAUAUAUUCACGUAUGACAUAGUAUAUAUUAGCUAUUAAGUUAAAAACUAAUAAAAUACUACAGUUUUGCAUAGGAUAUAUAUUUAAUUAGUAGUAGGAUAGGACACGUGUAUUAAUUUUAAGGGCAAGUAAUCAAACUUUUGAAUGAUUCAUCAUGCUUAAAAAAAAAAAGAGACCUAGAUAGAUGAUUCAUCAGAUUCAAAAACAAGUAUAAAUAGACUUCGAGUUUGAAAUUUUAAUUAAUUUGCAACAACAAUUCAAACUGACUGUAUUAAGGUAAGUAGUUACAGAUUUCAUACACAUUAUAUGAUUUCGCGCACAUACGUAUGUAUAUAUAAAUAUUUUUUAAAAUCAUAUACUCCCUCCGUCCCCAAAAUAAGUUCCUCUUUGGGGACGGCACGGAUUUUAAGGAAAAGUGGUAAAGUGUAUUAAUAGUGGAGAAAAAUAUGUUAUAAUUAGUAUUGGAAGUUGUGAAAAGGUGAAAAAGUGUUAUAAUUAGUAUUGGGAGUGGUGAAAAAGUGAAAAGUAAGAAUAAAUAAAGUAUUAUUAGUGGUGGGGUAGUUGUCCAAAAAUGGAAAAAAAGAAAGAGGAACUUAUUUGGGGGACAUCCCAAAAUGGAAAAAGAGGAACUUAUUUCAGGGACGGAGGGAGUAUUAUAUAAUAAUUAUAUUUAAGUUUUAUAUUAUUCUUUAUAAACUAUUGUUCCAUUCUAUAUAAUUAGGUGUGGCACGACUAGGACGUAACUUUCGAUUGAAUUUCUCAAGUUAAUUUUCAAGUUCAAGUUUCAGGUGUGAGAUUUAUUUAAAUACAUGUCAUGAUUAUUCAUUGUCCAUUUUAAUAGUAUGUGUUUACCAUAUGUGUUAUGACGCAUAUUUUGAGGACAUCGCUAGGAGCCCAUAAAUAGGGUCCAGGACUUCACCGUCCUUGGAUUGCCACAAUGCGAUUUGAGGUUUAUUUUGAGGAUGUCGUCAGGGGCCCGUAAAUAGGGUCCAGGACUUUAAUAGUCAUUGGGUUGCCACAGUGCGAAUAUUGAAGAUAUAUAUGAAGUGACCGUAUGUGUUACCGUUUCAUUAACGUGGACAAUGAUUGCAUGUUUAAGAGACAAUAACCAAUUUUUCAGACAUUUGUGAACAAAAUGAAGCAUGUUUAGAGAUCCUUAAUAAAGGUGUACGAAAUGAUGGAUAAAUAAGUUUGUGAAACAAAUUUCACCAUACCUAACCCCACAAUUAUUUGCGGUCGAAUUUCCUCGUCACAGGAAAAAGAGAUGAUGACAAAAGGGCAAAAAUUAAUUAACAAAGUAGAAGAUGCAUGACAACUGUAAAAGAAAAAUAAUGCUACUAAUUAAAUAGUCCAAACUUCAUACGUUUCAUAUCAUAAGUGGCAGUUCUAUUUUUUUUUUGCGAAAGUGAACAAAAUAACGAAUAAUUUUUAAAGUAAUAGUAAUAAGGAGAUGUGUUUUGACAGAAAACGACAUGAGCGGCCUAAAAAUAAGAGGGAAAAAGAUAAUCAUAUAAAUAUGGGUUAAUUGCCUCUAAAUACACCACCUUUCCUUGAAUUCUACAAUUGCACAUCACCUUUAAAAUCCGCCCUUAAAUACACCACCUUUCCUUGAGUUCUACAAUUGCACAUCACCUUUAAAUCCGCCCCAAAAUACAUCAUCUUUAUAUUUUUUCUGUUUUUGCACAUGACUAAAAAAUUCUCAAGAAAUAAAUUAAAGUGUUAAUUUAUAAAUUUAAAUAUCUUUUUAGCAGCGAAAACAUAAUAAAAUAAAAUUCUUUAUAAAGUUUAAAAUCAUAUAUAUAUAUAUAUAUAUAUAAGUAUUUUCGUAAAGAAAUAAAUUCUCUAAUAAAUUUUUAGAAAGAACUUGAAUUAAAAAAAUAAACAAGUCAUGACAUUAAGAAAAUAAAAUGAAAUUUUUAUUUUAAUAAAUUUCACACGAAUUCGAUAUAAUUUGGAAUUUAGAGUUACAAUAAUCAGAAGUACCACAUGAAUAAUAUAAUGAGUUUGAAAGAAAUUUUUUUUAAAGAGGUUCGACACGCCCAUUCGACUUUCCACGCGCCUCCAAUGUCAUUUACCUGAAAUAUUAANUAUAUAAGUAUUUUUCGUAAAGAAAUAAAUUCUCUAAUAAAUUUUUAGAAAGAACUUGAUUAAAAAAUAAACAAGACAUGACAUUAAGAAAAUAAAAUGAAACUUUUAUUUUAAUAAAUUUCACACGAAUUCGAUAUAAUUUGGAAUUUAGAGUUACAAUAAUAAAAAGAACCACAUAAAUAAUAUAAUCAGUUUGAAAGAAAUAUAUAUAUAUUUUUUUAAAGAGGUUCGACGCGCCCAUUCGACUCUCCACGCGCUACCAAUGUCAUUACCUGAAAUACUAAAUAUGGGAUAAGCAUACAUAAUAUACUUAGUGUGGGAACAUGCAAUUAUUGUCCACGUUAAUAAAAUAGUAACACAUACGAUCAUAACAUUCAAAACGACACAAUUUUGCCAAUAUGGAAGCCACGUCAUUUAAAGUGGUAACACCCUAAUCUAACUAAAGUGUUAAAUAUAAAUUUAAAGCGGAAAUAUAAUAAAAUAAAGUUCUUUAUAAAAAUAAAUAAAGAAUUUUAUUUUAUUAUAUUUCCGCUGCUAAAAAAGAUAUUUAAAAUUUAUAAAUUAACACUUUAAUUUAUUUCUUGAGGAUUUUUAAGUCAUGUGCAAAAACAGAAAAAAAAUAUAAAGGUGAUGUAUUUUGGGGCGGAUUUAGAAUUCAAGGAAAUGUGGUGUAUUUAGGGGCGGAUUUUAAAGGUGAUGUGCAAUUGUAGAAUUCAAGGAAAGGUGGUGUAUUUAGGGGAAAUUAACCCUAUAAAUAUUCAAAAUCAAACGGAUUGGCAUGUAUUCAUCAUUUUUUAUUUUUUAUUUUGAUAAUUUAACAGUAUUAAAUAAAGAAAUUUAUAGGCUGCGUCCCUUACUGCUUGGCUUUUAGAUUAUGUUGUAAUAAUAAAAUUAAAAGCACGUUUACAAUAUAAAAUUAAUUAUGAUAAAUACAAUAUAUUAAUAAUAAAUACUCAAUUACCUCUUAACAUAAUUCGCGCAUCAUGGCUUUUAGCUUAUAUUAUAAAGAUAUAAUAUGUUGUCUAUAAUAAUCGACGGAAGGUAAUAGACAACAUGUUUUACUUCUUGUCUAUAAUAAUAUAGACAGUAGAUCUAGUGUUAUAGAUAACAAUUAAUACGUGUUGUCUAUAUGAUGAUAGACACCAAAAAUCUCUGUUGUCUAUUCUAUGACAAAAAAAUUUAAAAAAAUUCUAAUAUAUUUACAUCCCUGUAUUACAAUACCAAUAUAUAUGAAAAAAUAAAAAUAAUUAAAAAUCAAAUAAUCAAACAAUACUUAUAAACCACUAAUACUCACAAUCAAAUAUUUACACAUCAACAAUUGUAUUAUCUUUAAUUACGCCUUCAUUUAUCUACUAAAAAAAAUCUCUAAUAAAAUCUCUAACUAACUCCGGUCAUCAUCUCUUGAAGGCUUAGAAAAUGUCCAAAUACAGCGGCACAUGCUCAUUAUUGUGUGAGCGAUGAGAACUUUGCGCUGAACCUAUAAAGUAACUAUACUUAACUGGUAAAGUAAUUGUAUCCCGUGAAUCUAAAGGAAGAAUAAACACGUUGAUAGAGUUUGAAAGAAAAGAAUAAAGAGAAUGAAAAUCCAAAGAAUUUGCUUCUUCCGUUGAACAAUCCCUACACAACGUUGAAAUAUCAAUGAAAACAAUGGCUAUCCUAUACUCCCUCCAUCCAUGAAAGAACUUCCUAGGAGGGAGUGACACGGGUUUUAAGAAAAAAUAUUGUUAAGUGUAUUGAGAGUGGAUAAAAGGUAGUUGAGUGUAUUGGGAGUGGUGAAAAUGUGUUAUAGUUAAUAUUGAGAGUUGUGAAAAGUGAAAAGUAAGAGGAUUAUAAGUGGUGGGGUAUAGUCCAAAAAUAGGUAGGAAGUUCUUUUGUGGACGUCCCAAAAAGGAAAGAUAUGAAGUUCUUUCGUGGACGGAGGGAGUAUUAUUUUGCAGCAGCAACCACGUUUAAAAACUCGAUCCCUCUAUUCUUGAAUUUGUGAAAUUUCCGACUGAUUUAUUAGAUUCACCAUUUAUUUCAGUUUAAUUAGUCUAUAUAUAGAUAUUUCUUAUAUUAUUAAAUUGUUAACCUCAUGGUAGAUUUCAAGAUUUGAAAAUUCAACAAAGAGCUUGAGAAUUAUAGAGAUUGGAAGGGGAAGAUGAAACAUAGUUGGGUGAAAUUAGAAACCAAUUAAAGUCAGGAGAUUGAAGAAAAACAUAACUUAAAAACACAAAAUAAGCAAAUCGUAGAUGCAGUAUCUUGCAAGAAAAAGUUCAUAUUCCCAAGGCUAUGAUGAGCACGAAUUAGGGUGUGUCUGCAUUUUAUCCCUCUAAAUGGAGGAAUAAUAAAAUUUUAUGCCUUUAAAUGUUUGCUUUCUUAUCACACAUUCUAAACAAACACCAUUUUUUCUUCCUUAUUUUCACUUCAAUGAGGGAUAAUAUUAUCCCUCCAAUUUUGGUGUGAUAAUAUUAUCCCUCCUACAAGUGAAAAUAAGGAAGAAAAAAUGGUACUCCCUUCGUCCCAAACGAAAUGUCCUGUUUUCCUUUUUGGGCUGUCCCAAACGAAAUGUCCUGUUUCCUUUUUUGGCAAUACACUCUCUCUCUAUACUUAAUAUUUAAAUAAUUUUCACCAACCCACUUUAUCUACUUUAUACACAUUUCUUAAUCUCCGUGCCGAAAAGAAAUGGGACAUUUCGUUUGGGACGGAGGGAGUAUUUGUGUAGGAUGUGGGAUAAGAAAACAAACAUUUAAAGACAUAAAUUUUUGUUAUUCCUCCAUUUAGAGGGAUAAAAAGCAAACACACCUUAGAGUCUAAUUACAAUUUAGGCGCAGGCUGUGUGAGAAUUACUUAGUCGAAUAGGAUCCUUAGUAUUUAUAUUUCUCAUGUUCUUGUGUAUUUUUUCACUGAUUCACUAUUGGAUUAACAAGAAUUAUCUUACUUUAAAAAAAAAAAAGAAAUGAUCUUACUUCAUGUAUGGUAUGCCAACUGUUCGAUAAAGGUCCUUUUAGAAAUAUUCCAUAGAUUACCUUGCAAAGACCACAAAACUAGACACACCCUGCAUAGUUUAUACAUAGGGAUGGCCGAUUGAUGAUCGUCUUAUUUGUAGACUUAACGAGAGCAGACUCGAUCGCUUAGUCCUUACUGAUUUACGACACACAUGCACACAUACACAGAUACACACAUCACAAAAUCACGCAAAUUGACGGAUAAUGUUGCCGGCCAGCUCCUUCCUGCUCCACGCCACGGCAUUUUUCUGCACCAUGGUGGCCGUGAAAUACCACGAGACGAUGUCAUGGGUGGCGACGUGUUGUCCGGUGGCGGCGGAUAGCCCGACCUGAACCUCCUGAGCAACAAAGUAGCUCAAAUCGUACUCAUAGCUGACAUCAAACGUCUGAUUGCCGGCGGUGACUUUGACGGAGAUCAUCCUUGUGGCUCCGACGUAGUUGAUCCGCGCAGUUACCUGCUGCUUGAGUAUGGAGCUGUCGACCGGCGUCGUCUUGCUGGAUACCCUAGAGCCGAAGUCGAUGCCGAUGUGGGGAUAGAGCGGAUCCCACGCGCCGUUGACGUAGGUGUCGAUUUCAACGGCGAAGACCCCGGGGCUGUUGCCGUUGGAGCCAAAGAUUCCGAGAUUGGCUCCGUCGGAGCCAGGGGGGAUGGUGGAGUCGACGGGGGCAAUGAAGAAGGCGAGGCCGUCGGCAGGCUCGUUGUCGGCGCCGGGGGUGAUGAUGAAGUUCACGGUGGUUUCGAAGUCGACCUGCCCAUUGGACAUCCAGAAUUGGACCGGUUCCGAGUACAUGACGCGGCCGACUUGGGACGGUUGUGCGUCUGUGAGGCGGAGGAAGGUGGAGUCCGUCGGGAAAUGGGCGUUGCCUUGAUAGAUGAGAUCUUUCGGCUGGUCGCCCCAGAAGUCGAAGGUGAACGACGUCGUUUGGGACAACGCCGUGUUGGAAACGGCGAGGAGGAGGGCGAUGGAGGCGAGGAGAGGAGUUAAGUUGGCCAUGGCUUAAUAGAUUUAGAUUUAGAGAUGUGGUGGAUGAUGGUGGUAUCGAUCUGUUGCACCUAUUUAUACUAGUAUGGUUCAUGCCUGAUAAUAAUUGUAUCAAUCAAUCAUCGUGCAUCUAUCCCAAAUUAUAUGUCUUAUUAUUCACUAAUUAGAUGGAAUAAAUCCUAAUUUGCAAUCUUAAAAUUAAACCGCCAAUGAGGCCUUGCUCUAGUAGCAAAGCUGUGGCACCCAAUAACUUUUCUUUGUGAAAGGUCUUGGGUUCAAUCUCGCCUGCAUGCGGUGAUGUUUGCCCACUUUAGGUGGUGUGGUAUUCUCGCCUGCGUGCGGUGUUAUAUUGUUUAGUGUUAAGGUCCCACAUGCAGGGCGUUCUUGCAUGUGUGCGUGUCACAACCCAAAACCAUUUAUUUUCUUUACAAAUUUUAUAUGAAAAUUAUUUGAUUUUUAAGUUAUAGAGUUUUCGAUAUAUAUACAUAUAGUGUCAAUUUUAUGUUAACUUAGUCGUGUCCCUAAUUAAAAGAAUGAAUUUGAAAUAAAAGUUAAGCCUUAAAAAUUUAAUCUACAUUCAUAUAUAACUGAAAUUACAUGCAUGUCUAAAUAUUAUUUAUAAUUAUCAAUAACGGGAUUAAUGAUUCUAUAUCUCUAUGUUUAUACAUAUAUUCACGUAUGACAUAGUAUAUAUUAGCUAUUAAGUUAAAUAAAAUACUACAGUUUUGCAUAGGAUAUAUAUUUAAUUAGUAGUAGGAUAGGACACGUGUAUUAAUUUUAAGGGCAAGUAAUCAAACUUUUGAAUGAUUCAUCAUGCUUAAAAAAAAGAGACCUAGAUAGAUGAUUCAUCAGAUUCAAAAACAAGUAUAAAUAGACUUCGAGUUUGAAAUUUUAAUUAAUUUGCAACAACCAUUCAAACUGACUGUAUUAAGGUAAGUAGUUACAGAUUUCAUACACAUUAUAUGAUUUCGCGCACAUACGUAUGUAUAUAUAAAUAUUUUUUAAAAUCAUAUAUUAUAUAAUAAUUAUAUUUAAGUUUUAUAUUAUUCUUUAUAAACUAUUGUUCCAUUCUAUAUAAUUAGGUGUGGCAUGACUAGGACGUAACUUUCGAUUGAAUUUCUCAAGUUAAUCUUCAAGUUCAAGUUUCAGGUGUGGGAUUUAUUUAAAUACAUGUCGUGGUUAUUUAUUAUCCAUUUUAAUAAUAUGUGUUUACCAUAUGUGUUAUGAUGCAUAUUUUGAGGAUAUCGCUAGGGGCCCAUAAAUAGGGUCCAGGACUUCACCGUCCUUGGAUUGCCACAAUGCAAUUUGAGGUUUAUUUUGAGGAUGUCGUCAGGGAUCCGUAAAUAGGGUCCAGGACUUUAAUAGUCCUUGGGUUGCCACAGUGCGAAUAUAUUGAGGAUAUAUAUGAAGUGACCGUAUGUGUUACCGUUUCAUUAACGUGGACAAUGAUUGCUUGUUCUCACACUGAGUGUACUCUGUAUGCUCAUCCCAUAUUUAACGUGGAAGGUCGAUUGACGAAUCAAAUAUUUUGUAUUUAGCUUUACCUAAAUAUGUUAUUUUGAGUAAAGUAUUUUAAAUAAAAAUUUAUUUCAUAAUUUUCUCAUUAAAUAUUUAUUUAUAUUCAUAGCUUUUCCGCACAAAUAUUUAUUUAAAUUUUAAUUAGAUUUGGGUGUCACUGUGCGGUGAUGUUUUUCCACCGUUUCGGUGGUGGUGAGGCCCCACCUGCGUGCACGUUAUAUACUUGAUUAUAUUCAGAUACCUCUUGUAAUUUUUAAAAAAAUAAUCAUAAAAUUAAACCAAAGCAUAUAAAAUUGAAAUUGGCCAAAAAAAUAUAUAAAAAUAAAUAAAAUUAAAAAUGGGAUAUAAAGUGAGACAUUAAAUGUGGUACACUACUGAAUCUCAAUCCAACACGUGGAUGCUACAUUGUACUUGUCGGAAUAUUAGAACUUCUACAAAAUAUUGCUAUUGGAAACGUGAAAUUUUAUUAUGAGAAAACUUAUACCUGACCCCACAGUCGUGGGCACGUGUUAUGUUGCGCGGAAAUUAAAGUGGUGGGGACCGUAAAUGGUAUUUUAGUCUUUUAAUUUAUUUUAGUAUACAAAAGAGUUAAUUUUAAAGAGGCGCUAAAAAACACAUCACUUUUAAAAAUUGGUAUUUAAAAUCUUGAACCCCUUUUAUUAUUUUAGAAAGAUAUUAAUUAAUUGAUAAAUUAAUAAAUUAUUAAUUGAAACAAUUAUUUUAAGCAAAUUUAAUUAUAAUUACCUAAAAAUUUAAAAAACAUAAAUUCAAUACCAUUCAAAUUCAACAAACUAACUUAAAUUUUUACUUUAAAAAAUCUUCAUCAAUCUUGCAAUCUCGGCUUGGACUAUAAAUGUUCAACAAGAGACAAUAACCAAUUUUUCAGACAUUUGUGAACAAAAUGAAGCAUGUUUAGAGAUCCUUAAUAAAGGUGUACGAAAUGAUGGAUAAAUAAGUUUGUGAAAAUUUCACCAUACCUAACCCCACAAUUAUUUGCGAUCGAAUAUCCUCGUCACAGGAAAAAGAGAUGAUGACAAAAGGGAAAAAAAAAUUAACAAAGUAGAAGAUGCAUGACAACUGUCAAGAUAAAUAAUGUUACUAAUUAAAUAAUCCAAACUUUAUACGUUUCAUAUCAUAAGUGGCAGUUCUAUAUUUUUUGCGAAAGUGAACAAAAUAACGAAUAAUUUUUAAAGUAAUAGUAAAAGGAGAUGUGUUUUGACAGAAAACGACAUGAGCGGCCUAAAAAUAAGAGGGAAAAAGAUAAUCAUAUAAAUAUUCAAAAUCAAACGGAUUGGCAUGUAUUCAUCAUUUUUUAUUUUAAUAAUUUAACAGUAUUAAAUCAAGAAAUUUAAAGACCGCGCCCCUUACUGCUUGGCUUUAAGAUUAUGUUACAAUAAUAAAAUUAACAGCACGUUUACAAUAUAAAAUUAAUUAUGAUAAAUGCAAUAUAUUAAUAAUAAAUACUCAAUUACCUCUUAACAUAAUUCGCGCAUCAUGGCUUUUAGCUUAUGUUAUAAAGAUGGAGUAUAAAAUAAUCAUCACCUGUGCAUGAUAUUUCACAAAAUAAUUAAAUAAUAAAAUAAUCAAUCAUAAUGCCAAGACGUGACUCUUGUCGGUCAUAUCUCAUCAACUUUAUCUAUAUAGUACAAUGAUGAUUAAUUUGAGAACGACGAUUAAGACACCAACUAUUCUUGUGGGGACACAUGCAUAUAUAGAAUUAAUAUUAUAAACUCUCUCGGUCCACGAAAUAACUUACUAUUUUUUCUUUUAAGAACGUGAACAAAAAAAAUUCCCAUCGAUAUUUCGGAACUAUACCCCACUACUUUAAAAUACCUCAUUUUACCCUUUCUUUUUCACAAAAACAACAAAUUACUAAUAAUUUUUCACUAUUCCUAAUAUACUGAACAAUUUUUCUCCACUCUCAAAUUUUGUAGCACCGAAUAAAAUUAAAUACUAGUAUUAUUUUUUGUAGAACUAUAAAUAAAUAUUAUUCUCAAAACAUGUACUAUUACUUACUAUUUUUUUUAAAUGUGGGACGACCAAAAAAGGAAAGAUGAAUUCUAAAAGCUGGGACAGAGGAUAUAUUAUUUUUCUUCUUGGUUCUGAAGUAUGAAUAUUAAUUAACAAUUCUUCGUCCACAUCAAGCUCACCUUCACGUAAUUUUUUCUUGAACAACACCGAAAAAUAUAUAAUCCCAACAUAGCAUGAUCAAUCUCAAUGCACCAAACAUAAAUUAGUUUUAAAAUAAUAAUAAGAUUAACUACUAUAUUGCUGAAUUAUGCAGUAGAAUUAAAAGCGUGAUUUUUUUUUAAUAGAGCAGGUUAAUCUAGGCCUACCUGAACCAUCUGACUAUGCAUGAGUUUGAUUUUUCUUCUUGAUCUUUUUUAAUUUUACCGACAAAGAAGAUUUUCACAAAUGAAAAGAAAACGUUCUAGUAACAUACUACAUGCUUACUUCAGAUUUGCAACCAAGUCUAUUGAGGGUUUUAUUUGCUACAUAUAUAAACACAAGGAUUUGGUUUGAUACAAAUUAAGAAUAUUCAACUUUCAUCGGCUCAAGCACAUAGAAUCUCCCCGAGUAGUUAUAACUGGUCAAUGUUUUUGCCGAUAAAAAGGAAAAGGAAAGAAAAAAGAAAGAAGCAAGACGGAGAAAAAGUUGUAGUAAAUGAUUAUGCGAUGAAAAGAAAAUGGAAAAGAGAAAGAAAGAAGAAAGUUGUAGGAAUUUUGAAGAAUUUGUACUUAUUUAGAAUUGUGGUUAUUGUGGGAUCUUGUAUAAUAAUAAUAAUAAUAAUAAUAAUAAUAAUAAUAAUUAUUGGGCCGUUCCACGAAUCUUGGCACAUUUUCAAAUAAGGUAAUAAUUCAUUCUCUCUCUUACUUUAUCACUUUAAUACUUUAUUAACUACAAACUUAAAACACUAAUAUACAAUUCCUUAAUUCCCGUGUCGAAACCAAACGUGUCAAGAUUCGUUGGAUGGAGGGAGUAAUAAUAAUAAUAAUAAUAAUAGUAAUAAUAAUAAUAAUAAUAAUAAUAAUACAUCAUUGCCCUUUAAAAAGUUUUAAAAUAGGAACAUAAUAUGUAAAUCUAAUUUUGUAAAAGAAGCUCUUCUAUAGUAAUAGUUAUAGAUUUGGUGUGGAGGCAUUUGUUUGAGAAUGGGUAAAACAUACCAUUAACCCUUUGAUAUAUGCACGAGACACUUAUUUGUGGAUAGGACAAGAAUUAUUUUGUUGCAUAGGAUCCCUUCCAAAUGUAAUUACUGAUUCACAAUUGGAUUAACAAGAAUUAACUUACUUCAUAUUCAGUAUUCCAACUGUUCGAUAAAAGUUCUUAAUGAAAUCUUCCAUAGAUUACCCAAAUGCAUUGUUUUGCAUAGUCCGUACAUUGAGAUGGUCGAGUAUCUUAUGUCUAGACUUAACGAGAGCAGACUCGAUCGCUUAGUCCUUAUUUAUUUACGACACACACACAUCUCAAAAUCACACAAAUUGACGAAUAAUGUUGCCAGCCAGCUCCUUCCUGUUCCACGCGCCAGCAUUUGUCUUCACCAUGGUGGCUGUGAAAUACCAUGAGAUAAUAUCAUGUUUGGCGACGUAUGGUUGGUUUAGUCCGCUGGCGGCGGAGAGCCCUACCUGAACCUGCUCAGGAAGAAACUCGCCCAAAUUGUACACAUGGCUGACCUCAAACGUCUUCGAGCCGGCGGUGGCACUGACGGUGAUCAUCUUCGUGGCUCCGACGUAGUUGAUCCGCGCAGUCACCUGCUGUCCGACUAUGGCGUCUCCGACAUUCGUCGUGUUGCUGGAUUCCCUAGAUCCGAGGUCGAUGCCGAUGUGGGGAUAGUUCGGAUCCCACGGGCUGUUGAUGAAGGUGUCGAACUCGACGGCGAAGACCGAGGGGCUAUUGCCGUUGGAGCCGAAAAUUCCGAGGUUGGCCCCAACAGCGCCACUGGGGAUGGUGGAGCCGACGGGGGCAAUGAAGAAAGCGAGGCCGUCAGCGGUUUUGCCAUCGGGGCUGGGUGUGAUGAUGAAGUUAAUGGUGGUUUCAAAGUCGACUUGGCCACCGGAUUGGGAGAACUGGACCGGCUUCGAGUACAAGACCCGGCCGACCUGGUAUGUCUCGAAGUCGGUGAGGCGGAGGAAGGUGGAGUCCGAUGGGAAAUGGGCGUGGCCUUGGUAGGUGAGAUCGGUCGGCUGGUCGCCCCAGAAGUCGUAGGUGAAGGACGUUGUUUGGGACCACACCGUGUUGGCAGCGGCGGCAAGGAGAAGGGCGAUGGAGAUUAGGGUUUGUUGAAGGUUGGCCAUCGCUUAAUUGAUUUGGAUGUGGUGGAUGAUGGUGGUAUCUUUAUCUUGCUUCUAUUUAUAGUAGUAUAACGAGCCCUAGUUAAUUAUCUUUAAAUCAUACUAAAAUAUCAUAAAUUAAAAUUGAAGAAAAAAAAGUUAAAACCUACUCUCGCAGUCCCUCAAAUAACUUCUUAGGAGAAGAGGGGUAGGAGUUUUAAGACGAAGUUAAUGUGCAAAGUAAGGAUAAA
rnacentral:lncRNA from 1 species